CCUUUCGGUACGGCCACUAAAGAAUUGCUUAUACACUAAACAGCUGCUUAUAUACGCUUACUAAAAGACUGACUUUCAUUCAUUCAUUAGGCCAGCGUGAAACUAAGAAAGAAAGAUGUGCCUAAGGCGGCAUGCAAGCAAACUGUGCACGCUAAGAGAAAAGGAGAGAUGUUCGCAAUUACUACCACAAGAGAGCCGCCCCCCUACCCUAUCUCUAAAGGGGCCCGUCACUUCGUUCGUACCUUCUUGGCUUAGACUUCCAACUGAACUUACUUUAUGGCCUUACCGCCCGCCGCUAGCAGAAGCUAAGCGCUUGAAAAGCGCGCUAAGAAACGUUCUUUCUGUCGGCCUUUCUGUGCAACAGUCCACCAAUAGCGGAAGAGAGGGUUACCGUACAUACAAGACUCUUCCAGUUCUUACGUAAGCUUUUUCUUACCAGUCAAGUAGUACAACAGCUGUAUCUUAUCUUAUAGCCCGGCGCGGCGGGUCGCCUUUUGAAUUCAGUAGAUAGAACCAUUGAAUUUCUAUGUUUACCAGCAUUUAUUUUUUGGUGCAAAAAAGGAGCUGUUAUAACUUAGCAACUAGUACGUAAAACAAAACGACAAGCUGUAUCCUCCUGCAGCAGUGUUUUCACAAAAGAGGGAGGUUCUUGAAACAAAACAUGAAAGACCUCGUUACACGUCGCACUAUCACUAUUACAUAAAGUUUUGCUUUCGAAACAUAGUGGGAUUGUAAUAGAUCGAAUUUGAAUAUUUGAAUCCAAUUCAAAAUUUAAGAUUUAAAAUUUAUUUUAAAUUUCAUUAAAAAGUUUUUUAAUUUAAAUUCAAUUAAAGAUAAAAAUUAAAUUAUUUAAAUUUAUUUAAUUAGAUUCGAUUAAUAUAUAAAAAUAAAUUUAAUUUUUAUAUUUAAUAAAUAUUUGAUAAUUUUUAUUCAAAUUUAAAUUUAAAUUUUAAAUAUUUAUUUAAUUAAAAUAAUAAAAUAUAUUUAAAUAUAAAAAUUAAAUUAAAUUCAUAAACUAUUUAAAUUAAACAUAAAAAUAUUUAAAUAUAAUUUAAUCAAUAAAUUAAAUUUUUAAUUUUAAUUUAAUAAUAAUUAAAUUAAAUUUAAAUAAUUUAUAAAUAUUAAUAUAUCAUUUAAAAGCCGAGGGCGAGAGCGUAUCCUUACAUCUAUUGCCUUCCCAGCAUUAGUAAAUAGAAAUGAUAUGACGAUUGAACUGAAUAAUUUUUUGUGGGAAUGGUUGGGCCAUUUCUCUGUUGUCUAAAAUGUUUGGUUCCGUAUGGAAAAUGUACACUGAAAUUCGUACACUUUGUGGGGUUGCGUAGGCCUAAGAGCAUCCUAGAAAGAAUGAAAAAAAAAAAAAAAAAAAAAAAAACCGAUCCAUGAGGACUGAGGUCCCCUUCCAUGUGGUGUUUACUUUUAUGGAGGUGAUCAAUGCCACGCUUUAUGUUGUAGUGUACCAACAACUCAAUAAUUUUGUUUCUCAAUUAUUGCAUGAAUUUGCCAAGACCGAAAACGCCCUGCCUUUGUCUCUCCAAUUUGAUUUACUUCUUUUUCUUGGACACUAUUUUUUAAAAAUAUAAAGAUUUUUAUGUGAUAUAUAUAUAUCGAUGAUAUAUUUAUAUUUUUAAAAUAUUAAAUAAAUAUAAAAAAUAAUUAAAUUUUAUAGUUUAAGAAUUCAUAAAAUAUGAUAUAAUAUUAAGUCUUAAAAAGAUAGAAUUUAAAAAAAUUAAUAUAUAAUUUUUAAGAUUAAAUCUAUGUUUAGAUGGUUUUACUUUAUAAUAUCAUAUUAUAGUAAAAAUUAAAAAAAUUUUAGAAUAAUUAAAAAGAUAAAAAAUAAUUUCAAAAUUUUUUAAGUCUUCUUAAUUAUAAAGGUAAUUCAUUAAAAAUCUUUUUUAAAAAAAGUUUUACAAGAAAAACAAAAAAAGAUAAAUAUUUUUCAUAGAUAAAAGAAGAAUAUGAUAUUAUUAAACAAAUAAAAUCAAAUCUUAAAUUUAUACCUAAAAUAUAUCUUCUAAAAUCUGGAGAAUUAUUUAUUGUUGAAAUAGAUGCAUCAGACCGACAUUGAAGAUGUAUACUUAAAUCAAAUAUACAUAAUCAAGAAUUAAUUUGUGGUUAUAAUUCGAAAAAAUUUAAACCUAAUGAGAUAAAAUAUAUUAUUUAUGAAAAGGAAUUACUAACAAUAAAAAAUAUAGUAAUAAAAUUUCAUAUUUAUUCAACACCUAAAAAUUUUAUUAUUAGAAUUGAUAAUUAAGCAGUUAAAAAUUUCUUAAAAAAAUAAGAAUUAGAAACUAAUCCUAAAAGAAUUAGAUGAUAUAAUUUUUUAUGUCAGUAUAAUUUUUAUAAUUUUUUUAUUGAAUUUAUUAAAAAAUUUAAUAAUAUUUUUGUUGAUUUUUUAAACAGUUCAGAUGGAUAGAGACAAAAAAUCUCUUGAGCAACAAAAACAUAUCACCAUUCAAAAAGAGCAAUUUAAACAAAAAAUUUCUUUUCAAAAUCUUAAUUCAAAAUUAUCUUAUCCUACUCGUUUUAAACUGCUAAUGUUUAUACUAAUCCAAGAUACUUUUAUUCUUCUCUUAGCAUCUUCUUAUACUCUUUCUCUCCUUUACAUCUCUCUCACACCUACCAAACCAUAGUAGAGCUUUUUUUUUUUUUUUUGGGAGUUGGGGAAGGGAUUCGAUUUUUUUUUUUGAAUAAAUUAUGUAUCGAUUUAGUCAAACGUUAUUAUAAGAAAUUUGAAGUGCAUCUUUCCCUACCAAAUUAGUUUUUCUUAUAUACAUAAGCUCAUACUCCAUUUUGAUUUCUUCUCUCUCAACUUAUUAUUCAAAGAAAAGAAGAAUUAAUCUUCUCAAAUCAAUAGAUUUUAUCUAUGGAGUUAUCAAACACAAAGCCUCACGUUGCCUUGCUAUCUUUCCCUGUUCACUUUACUCCUACGGUUGAGCUAGGGAAACGCCUUGUAACUUGCCAAAACGUCAAAGUAACAAUCUUCGUCACUUCUUUUCUUGAAUCUGCAGCAUCAAUAUCACGGAUGGUCCAAUCUGCUCAGAGUGCAAACCUCUACGAUGUCAUCCAACUGCCGCCAGCAGACAUUUCUGGCCUUAUUAGCUCCGGCAAGAUGGAACUCUUGUCGGUUUCAUCCGUGGUUCGUUUUAGCAAACCAGCUUUCCGGUCUGCCAUAUCUGCUUUGGAGACUCCUUUAACUGCUCUAAUUGUUUAUGUUUAUGCAGUUAAUUGUUUAGUGAUUGCUGAUGAGCUUAAGGUUCCUAAAUUUGUUUACCUAAGCUUGCAUGCCUGGUAUCUUGCCCUAUUUUUAUACACUCCAAUAUUAGUUAAGAAGGUCGGAGGAGAGUUUGGAGAUGAUCAGAAACAACCAUUUGUUCUUCCAGGUUGCACCCCAGUUCGACCAGAAGAUAUGCCAGAUCCUAUAUUGGUCCAAACCAAAAAUAGUUACCUUGAGUUCAUACGUAUAGCUAUAUAUGGAGAUUCCAAAGGCUGAUGGUAUUUUGGUGAACACAUGGGAGGAGUUGCAGCCUACAACCCUAGCAGCUCUGAGGGAUGAUAAGCUCUUGGGAAGUAUUGCCAAGGCACCAAUUUUCCCCAUCGGCCCAAUUACUUCAGAGGGAGCAGUCGGAUCAAAGAGCGAGCUGUUCGAGAGGAUGGACAAGCAACCAAAACAAUCUGUGCUUUACAUAUCUUUUGGAAGCAUAGGAGUGCUAUCACCUGAGCAAAUGACAGAAUUAGCUUGGGGUUUAGAGUUGAGCCAACAAAGGUUUAUUUGGGUAGUGCGUCCACCUAAAACAAAAACAGAUAUUGGGUUUGUUCCCAAGUUUGGGGACAGUAAUAAUAUGUCCAGUUACUUAGCAGAAGGGUUCAUGACUCGGACCCAGGAGAGGGGGCUAGUGAUUCCACAAUGGGCUCCGCAGGUGGAAAUCUUGAGCCAUAAAUCAUGUGGGGGAUUUUUCACACAUUGUGGGUGGAAUUCAGCUAUAGAAUGUAUCACUAAUGGAUUGCCAAUGAUCGCUUGGCCUCUUUAUGCUGAACAAAGAAUGAAUUCUACAAUGUUAACAGAGGAACUCGGCAUAGCUGUUCGAUCCAGAACAAUACCAUCCAAGGGUGUUGUGGGGAGGGAGGAGAUUGAGACAAUGAUUAAGAAAAUAUUUGUCGAUGAAGAAGGGCGAAAAAUAAGAGGCAGACUCAAAGACUUAAAACUUAGUGCAGAGAAAGCUUGGACCAAGGGUGGUUCGUCGUACAAUGCGCUAGCUGAAAUGGUGAAACAAAGUAAAAACUGAAAGAAAAAGAAGAGUAGUUUGAAUGAAGAUAUAGUCUCUUUUGACAGUUUAUGCAAGACUAAUGUUAAAUAAUGUUUGGGGUUCGGAUUAGAAUCCUACGUGGUGAGAAUGAGAUUUUUAGCAUGAAAGAAAAUUAUCUAGACUAAUGAAUAUUUCUUUCUUUGGCGUUUGAAUAUAUGCUCUCUCAAUUGAUCCUAGAUUUAGUAUCAUGCUACUUCGUAUAUAGUGUUUCUAUACAUCCUAACCAAUUUUAAUCCAUCCAGCAGUUGGGGGAUUUUUCUAGCAUUGUGUGUAGAAUUUAACCUUAAAAGUAUCAUUAAUGGAGUGCCCUAGGAAUCAAAUAACGGUUCUAUAGUGGAAUAACGGUCAUAAAAUUAUGAUAGUGCCACCACCCGUUAUUGUUAUUGGAGAAAAUGCAAUUGAAAAAUUUAUUCACACCCAAAUCGGUGCGUAACGACUGCACGAAAAUGACGUAACGAAAAAUAUCGACAAUAACAAUCCAUUAUUGCCACUAUUCCCAUUUUCCUCCUCACCAAUUCAAGUUAUAAAAUAAAAAAAUAAAAUUUCAACCACUGCCAAAAAGCAUAAUAAAAGAGCAAGAUUGCAAAAGUAAAAGUAAAAGCAAAAAAAUAACUCAAAGCCUCAGUUUCAAAAUCAAUCUAAAAAAAAGUUAGAAAACAGUAUUAAAUCAUUUAUCAACCAUUCAAUCGAAAACAAUCCUAGCUCAAUCCACAAAUUACCUAAAUUUAAAUCAGCCUCAAAUUUUCAAUCAACAAUCAAGAUUAAAAAAGGUAAAAAGAUAAAUUUAAAUUACUUUCCUUUUUUUUACAAAAUUUAUGUAAAACAAUGUCUAUCUUUAUGAGAAUUUGAAAGAGACAAGCGACGUACUUUGUAGGCAUUAGGCAGGUGAUAGCGAUGAGGGUAUGCGAGAGAGAGCGAUAGAUGCAAAGAAAAUUGGGAGAAGAAAAAGAUGCCCAAAGCAUAAAAAAAAAGAACAAAAAAAGAUUUGAUGAGGGAAUUAGGUAGCCAAAACUUAGGGGGUAUUUGAGAAUAGAUGGAUGGAGUGGGAUGAAUGGGUGGGGUAGGGUUGGUUUUUUAUUUAAUUUUGUAAUUAAUUUUAUUAAAAUAUAAGUUCAAAUAUUUUUAAUUUUUGAAAUUUUUUAAAAUAAAACUAAUUAAAGGGAUUGAGAAUUUAUAAUUGAAAAAAAUUAACGAUUUAAUAAUUUAAUAUGAUAUAUAUAGAGAUUUUAGAUGAAAAUUUUGACAAAAUUUUUUUUUGUAUAAGUUAGAUGAAAAAUAAUUAAAAUUAGAUAUUAUAUUUUGAUUUUGUUGUUUAUUAAUUUAUGAUUUUGUAUUUAAAAUUUAAUAAUUUUUUUGUUGUUUUGAUAUUUAUAUUGUUGUCAAUUCUUUUGAUAUUAGAUUAAUUCUUAUUAUUUUUGUGUAAUUAUUGAAUAUUCCAUUUAUUAUAUAAGUAUUGAAAGUAAUUUGUAAUAAAAAAAAUUUAUAUCAAUUAGUGUAUCAAAAAAAUUAAGUUACUUAAUAAAUUUAAUAUUCUAUGAUCUAUUACUUUUAAGAUUAAAAACUAUUAACUAAAAAUUAAAAAAUUUAACUUAAAUUUAAUUUUUAAUAAUGAAAUAAGUAACUUUAAUAUUUCUAAAUAUAAGUUUUAUUUAAUUUUAUAUAAAAUAACAAGCAUGCAACUACGUAAAGAAUUUCCCAAGUAAAUAAGUAGAAGGUAUGCUAAAUAAUGAUAUAGGUUGACAUUUUGGAACACUUGUGCCAAAUAUAAAAGAAAAUGUUCAUGCAAACUUUGUAGUAAAGUUGUAAAAUGAGGAAUAAAACGUUUUAAGGAACACAUUGCUUAUAAAACUGACAAUGUUGCAUCAUACUUCAACAUUACUGGAAUGUUAUAUUUUUAUAAUUCCUUUGCAAAUAUUAUUGUUAAUUUCUUAACAAAAAAUAUAAAAUUACAUAAGCAUGUAUAACUAAUUUUCUCCUUUUUGUCUUGACUAUAUUAUUAAUAGGUAUAGUAAAAGAAAGUAUGAUAAAACUUUUUCAAGAAAACAAAUUAAAAAAAUUGACAACAAAAAUAAGAAAAAAUAAAUUUUUAUCACAGUUAAGAGGGCAAGAUGAUUAUAAAAGAUUUACUAAUGAAGACACCGCUACUAGAUAAGUCAUGCUAGAUAGUAUCCAAUCACAACAUGAGUGGCAUAGAAGACAAGAAUUCAAACAAAGAACUAGUGGUUUAAGUAAUAUAUAUGAAGAGGAACGAAGCUCUCAUGGCUCAGUUGCUAAAUAUUUUGAAGAAAGUACAAGGAAAUCAACUCCAAAUAAGUCUGAAUUUUCAUUACCUGAAUUGGUUAAAAGUAAGAGUUCAAGGUAAUUAAAAAUAAGUGACCCAUUUUUAAAGACAUUAAGAAAGAAGAUGAGUGAAUUAGUAUCAAAAUUUUUUAUAUAUGAUCGACUUCUUUUUCAAUUAGCAAACCCUCAAUGGUUACAAAAUUUAAUUUCUGUGGUAGCAGAAGUUGGCCAACAUAUAAAAUUUUUAACACUUUAUGAGGUUUCAGAUGUGUAUUUAGAGUCUAAGUAUCAAUAAAUUCAUGAAUGAGUUAAUGGAUUAAAAGCUCAUUGGAAUGAAUUGUGUGUCACUUUGAUGUGUAAUGGUUAGAUCAACAGUUUAAAUUAAAUACAUACCAUUAAUUUUCUUGGUUACUAUAGUAAAGGGAUCAUUUUUUGAAAAUCUAUAGAUGUCUCAAGUGUUCAUAGUAGAGAUAUAAACUUUUACUAUAGAUUAUUGGAUGAAGUUAUAAAGAAAAUUGGAGAAAAAUACAUUGUUCAAAUAGUCACUGAUAAUGAAGUAGCACUUAAAGUCGCAAAAAAAAAUUAAUAGAGCAGAGAAAACAUUUGUUUUAGAUAACAUGUUCAGCUCAUUGUUUGGACUUGUGCCUUAAAGAUAUUGACAAAAAAAAUGUGACAAAGGUUUUGGAUGAUGCAAAACCUGUGACUUGUUUUUAUAUACAAUUACAUUUUGAUUGUUAAUUUGAUGAAAAAAUAUACACAAAGAAAGCAAAUACUUCGUCUUACUCUUAUCCAAUUUGCCACUCACUUCAUAUAGUUAGAAGAAAUAAUGAGGCAAAAGCAAGAUUUAAGAGAGAUAUUCAAUUCAAAUGUUAGUAAUUAGUAUAAUUAUUUAAAUCUAGUAUCUUUUUAUGAUAUGAUGGUUUAAAAUAUUAAUUUAAAAUAUAUUACUCUAAAAAAUUAUUGAUGAAUAUAUAAAAAUUUAAAGAAUCAAAAUGGGAACAACAAAAAUAGGGGCUUGCUUAUGAAGCCAAAAAAUUAUUUUGAGAAAAGAUUUUAAAAAAAAGCAUGCGAUAUAAUAAAAAUUUAUGAGCCUUUGAUAAAAAUGUUGCACCUUGUGGAUGUGAUGAAAAACCAACAAUUGGCUUUAUUUAUGAGACUGUUGAUAGAGCUAAACAAAAAAUUCAGUAAAAUUAUCGUUAUUCUAUUGAAUAUGAAAAUAUUAUUGAUAAUAGAUGAAAUUUUAUACACUCUGAGUUGCAUUCAGUUGGUAAGUAAAUCAAGGAUAUAGAUGGCAUUUAAAAAUAUGUUUAUUUUUUAUAGUUAAAUUGUUUAUAUAUUUAUUUUUUAUUAUUUUAAUAUAAUAUUAUUAUGAAUUAUGUUUAAGUUACUAUCUAAAUCCACAAUUUCAAUUUGGAAUGGAACAUUCUGCAAAUAUAUUUAAAAAAAUAUUAAAAGGUACAAGAGUAAUUAUUAAAAUAUUAAAACUUUUUAUAGAUACUCAAAUCAAAAUAAUUAAUCAAGUUAGUAUUUAAUAUUAUUUUAUAACAUUGACAUUUAUUUUAUGUAUUAAAAAUAGAAUUAUUUUUUAUUUAUUCAUUUAUUAUUGUAUUUUAAAUCAAUAUACUUGUUAUUAUUUCAAGACAAGCAUGAAACAUUUGGUACUCCACAUGCACAAAGAGUUUGGAAGCAAAUGAAUUUAGAUAAAUAGUAAAUUAAAUAAUUAUAAUUUAUUUAUAUUAUUUAAUUGUAUAGCACAUUUAAAUUUAAUUUAAAUAAUUUUAUACAGCUGAGUAAUGAAUGAUAUAUGACACUUGUGUUCCUGAAUUACAAAAAUUAAUAAUCAAAGUGCUUAGUUAAACAAUAUUUACAUCAAAUUAUGAACAUAAUUAGAGCACAUUUAGCUGUAUUCACAUCAAAAUAAGAAAUAGAUUGAAGUUUGAAAUACUUUAGAAACUUAUAUAUACCUAUUACAACAUGCGACUAAGGAUGAGACAUCAGAAAAGAAUAAGCAUUGACAAGAUAAAUAAUAAUUUUAAUCCUAUUAGCCUUAACCAUAUUUUUAAAGAUGAUGAUCCAUUAGCAGAAUGGCUGCAAGAGAAAAAAAAUCAUAUGUUAGAUGAUCAAAACUUUGAUUGAUUACUCGUAGAUAAUUCUGAUAAUGAAAUGAAUGUUGAAUAAUCACGUUAAUCUCAAGAAAGAAAUGUGUCUCAUUCAAGUUCAAGCCCAACAUCAAGUUAGAGUAAUUAUAGUGGGGGUUUAAGUCCAAAUGAUGAUGAUGGUGAUAGUGUGAAUUUUGGUGGUAAAAUGAAUACAAAUCGACCUUACAGCCCACUUAGAAGAGAACUUGGGUUUGUUGCUACUAGUGAACUUUUCAUUAAAAUGGUAGAAUACGAAAUAAAUCAUUCUGCUAAAUCUAGUGAGGGUCAAAGUGCACAUAAAGCUCAAUCAAAAGGAAAAGCCAAGAAGCACUAUCAUGAUAUUUCUAGAAGUUCUUCAUCUUCAAAUAGGAGAUCUAAUUAUACUAAUUUUAAGUAUAAUAAAUCAUCAGCUAAUACUCAAAGAUGUUACUGUCCACUGGAAUAAUCUAAUUUUCAACAUCCUCAUGGUUAUCCACCUUUAUAUGGUUAUUAUCCACUAUAAAAUGUAUCAUCCACCUCAAAUGUAUCAUUUACCAUAUAUAUAUAUCCCUCACCACAAACGUAUCAUGCACCACAGAUGUAUCAUCCUCAAAUAUAUCAUCCACCUCAAAUGUACUAAAAACAAAGGUGACAAAGAUGGGGAUGUAGUCAACUUGGCUCUCAAAAUGAAGAUAGAGAAUUUGAUCCUUAUCGUCAGUCUAUCAUAUGGUAAAAUUUGAAAUAUAUAUCAAUAAUUGUAGUUGAUAGAAUUUGAAAUUAUUAUAUUUUUAGUUGAUGAAAUUUGAAAUUAUUAUAUUUUUAAGUUUGUAAUUUUAUUAAAUAUACAUGCUUGGUAUUUAACAUAUUAUAUUUUGUUAAUAUUUGAUUUGUCUAGAAUUAAUAUUAAAUAUGAACUUAGCUCAAAAAAAUUUUGUAGAUAAACCAAAUAUGAAUACUUUAUUAUAAUCUAAAUAAAUUUGUGAAUAAUUUAAAAAAAAAAUAAAAAACAUAAUGUCAUAAACUAUUUUUAAAAUCAUUAAAUAAAAAUUUUUAUAAUUAUAAUUAUAAUUAUUAUAUUUUAUAAUAAAUUAUAUAAAAAUAAAAAAAUUCACCACUGUAAUAAUUAUAAUAAUCUCCAUUAUAUCUAAAAAGUGAUAAAUAUAAUAUAAUUAAAAAUAUGAUCGGGAUUACUAUUUAAAUAUCUAGAAGUGCCCUUAACCGCUUGUCCGUUCAUGCAGAGCAGAAAAUGAAUGCUACGAUGUUAGAUGAGAUAAAGAUGACGGUGGAUGAAGAAGGACAUGCAAUGAGGGCUAGAGUCAAGGAGCUCAAAUCGAGGGCAGAAAAAGCUUGGAAUGAGAAUGGUUUUUCUUCUUAAGCAUCGGCUCAAUUUUUGUGUUUAAUCUUUUUGGAUCUCUUAAAAAAAUUGAACAAGCCCACUUUAUUGUAAUUUUGUUUUAGUAUAUGAUAGCCCCAUUGAUUUUGAAGGCCAGUCAUAAUAAGAAUUUCAGGGCAAGCGGUUGAAAAAGCCCAACAUUUAGCCCAAAUAUAAAGUUGUUCAUGUAUGGUGUAACAUGCAGAUCCCGCAGUCAUGAUUUUUCAGUGACCGCGGCAAUUGAGGACUCAGAUUAUGACUCACUGCCAAUUUAAUUGAGGUGCUAAGCUUUAAUUGGCUGUUAAUGUUUUUGAAAAGGGUAGAUAAUUUUCAGAAAAAGAAUCUCAUUUUUCGUUGACCAAUAAAUUAUUUUUCAUCGAUAAAUCAAUCUUGUAACAAAUAAAAAUUAAAAAAUACAAAAAUCAUUUUCUAAAAGUCAUUUUUGCGAAACAAAAGGAACCUUCUUUUGAAUUAAAACAUGUAAUUAUUAAUAAUUCUCUAACAUUUUACUUGUACCCAAAAGAAAACUCUAAAGAUUUGUACUGGUGUGAAAAAAAAUUUUGAUCUAGAAAUGGCAAGUGCCUAUGUUUAAGACCCUUAAUUUUUAUGGCUACAAAAUCCAAGAAAAUCUUGCUAGUUAUUGCAUUGCCAGACAAAAUGAGUAUGCCAUGUACAUGAUUCAAUGAAUAUGUUAAAAGUACAUUAUAACCUACAAUGCUCAUGUUAGACAUAGGUAAAUAAAAUGGUUAGUGAAUCCACCAGAGACAAACAGAUGGUGACUGAUGAAUUUAGGGUGAUUUGGAUUGACCAUAAAAAGAAAAUGAAAUUUUUAUUACACUGAGAAAAUUAUAGAAACGAAGCACAUAUAGACAGACAUCUUAUUUGAUAAUGAUAAGCCAAGACAGAAGCGUAUCAAAUGAUGCACAUCUUUCUCAACUGAAUGGAAUUGGCAAAAAGGAAUAGAAGAAAGGAUAUUCAACAGAAAUGCCAAGACCAUAAAACAAAGCCAAACACAAUUCCAAUUAAUGAAUAUUCAACACAAAAUGGAACCCCAAAUGGGGGGAAUGUCAUGCCUGAGAAAGCCUCUUGACAACACCAGCCAUGUACUUUCCCUGAUGCUCUGCAAGAGCCAGCUCUGUUUCAGUUGGCUCUCUUGUGCCAUCACCAGCAUAAACUCCAGCACCAUAAGGUGAACCUCCUCGUAUGGAAUCCAUCUUGAACAUUCCAGCUCCGAAAGUGUAGCCAAUGGGAACAAAUAGCAUUCCAUGGUGUGCCAACUGCGUUAUUGCCGUCCAACUGAACCAGUUAGAAGCACCAGAAAUGUCAGAAUGUUGAUAAACAUGCACUUUUUUGAGAAAUAAAUUCAUCCAUUCAUCCAUUUCUAGUUCAUCUCUCUCCACCAAUUUAUUAAAAACAUAAUAGACAACAGUGAAGUUCAGAAAAGAUCAUUUGGACAGAUAAGCCUGAUUUACCAAUGUGUCUCAGAUCAAACUCCAUGCUGACUUCUAGCAGGGAGCACCUUAAAUUUUCAUAUUGAAAAUGAAACCACUUUAGAUCCUUGAAUUUUUAGUGAUCUCAGUACAAACAUAGGUUGUUAUCUGAUAUCCAAUCAUCUGGAAAUGCUGAGAAUAAGUUCUAUAGCUAACAUACCAAUAAAAAACACUGAAACUCCUAAGAGAUGACAGCCACCCAACAUUUCCAAAGCCUAGAAAGCUUUCAUAUUUCAAGUUUAGUUUUCAUGUGAGGCAAAGUUCAUCUUUCACUAGACUGAAAAAGACAAAAAAAAAUCAUAACUUACGCGGUGGUUUCUUGGCCACCUCCUUGAGUUCCAGUACUAACAAAGAACCCAGCUGGCUUCCCCGCCAGCGUCCGCUCCUUCCAAAGCUGCCCCGUGGAGUCGAAAAACGCUUUCAUCUGAGCCGCCAUACACCCAUACCUCGUUGGAAACCCAAACAGGACACCAUCCGCCUCCGCCAAUUCCGCCGCAUUAAUCUCCGGAACCUCCGGGUCUUUAGGCGGCGCGUUCAUAUGCUCCAGCACGUCCUCCGGAAGCGUCUCGGGAACCCGGUAAAGAAGGGCCUCGACACCUUCCACGCCGUCGACUCCUUUCUUCACCCACUUCGCCAACCUCUCAACGUGACCGUACAUGGAGUAAAAAACAAUGAAGACUUUUAACGUAGCGGUAACUGAUUGGGUAUUUACAAAAUUCACCACCACGGUAGGAGUUUCGUGGGUUUCUUCAUCGGCGGAGACAGGUGCGUUGUUGGUGAUGGUGGUGGUGGAUCCACGGCGGCGGGCGGCGCCUUCCACGUAGGAAGGAAGCUUUUUCUUGCUUGGGACACAGCCACCGCCUUUGCCCAUGGAGGAUUAACGGGAAUUGGGGUUAGGAUGAAUUACAUUACACAAAAUCAUAUAACAAUUUUGUUUAAGCCUGGACCAUCGAAUUACAUUACCGUUGACUCCAACAAGCAUCCUUUUUCCUGAUGUCAUUCUGACAAAAUUUAUUAUUUUAUAUUUCAUAAAUAGGACCAGGGUGUCUCCCUGAAAAUCAUAAACGAGCUGUCAUAAUAAUAUAAAAUAUGAUAAGAUGAUUUUAUAUUUAUAUAAAAUAUAAAUAUAAAUAUAAAUGUGAUAUGAUUUAAAUUUUUCAUAAUAAUUAUAUAUAAAUUUAAUAAAAUUAAAAAAUAUAUUUUAUAUUUUUAUAUUAACAUAAAUUAUAAUAUUUAAUUUUUAUAUAAUAUAUAAUCAAAACAUAAAAAUAUUAAUAUUUUAUAUAAUAUAGAUAUACAAAUUUAUUAAUAAUGAAGUAAUUCAAAUGCUAACUCCAAUAAGUUUAAUUAGUUAAACUUCGUCUUUUUAAAUAAAAAAUUUUAAAGUCGAGUGUUAUCGAUAAUUAUUUAUUGAAAUUAUUUUAAAUAUAUGAUCUGUAAUUAUUUAUUUUAAAUUAUCAAAUAUGAUAUAUUUUAUUUUAAUUUAAAAAAUUAAAUAAUCUACCUACUUUUGAGUUUUUUUAUUUUAAUUUGACUACUAACUACAUGAUAUAAAACUUUUAAAUGAUGCAUAAUGCUCUUUUUAUACAUAUAUAAAGUUUUGAUUCCAUUUUUGUGUAUUAUGACUUGUCAUGGCCUCGUCAACUAAAAUAAAAUAUAAAAUUUAUUUUUUGUGCACAUCAGACGGCUAGUCAUAUGGAGUAAUUAUCAUUGGAUUUUCAUGUAUUUUGUCAUCUUUCGAAUAGUUUUAAAAUAUUGUUGUUCAAUGAUAUUUUUGGUGUAGCCAAAAAGAAAAACCAUAUACAAAAUCCAAUUAAUAAGAACGAACAUGCCGUGUGAAAUGGGUUCUAUGUGAUUGGUUUACCGGUUUAGUUUUAUAAAUACAUAUAAAAUCCAAAAAUCAAUGUAUUCAGGUUGAAUGGUACUAAAUCCGGUUAGCUAGCAUGCAUAAUUGAAUUUUAGUGAGUUUGACAGUAAGAGACUGAAAUUAACAUGUGCUUGUUCAUGCCCAUCCCUUAGAGUUCAAACUUUAACUGUUAGGUAAAGCAUGUUCAGAACCAUUUAACUAAGUCCUGGAUAUGGUUGUAAUUAAAAGGGAGAAAAAAAUUUAAAAAAUAAAAAUCAAUUCAAAAUUAUAAUGUUUAGUUUGGUUUAGAUUAAGUUUGAAUAUCAAAGAUAUAUGUUAGGUUCGAGUUAAGUUUUAAAUCAGAAAGUGAAAAUAAAAAAAAAUUAAAUCGAAUUGAAUUAUAUAUUUUAUUAAGUUAUUUUUUAAAAUAUUUAUAAAAGAAAAAAUAAUUUCAAGCUUAAAUUUAUUUAAUAUAUUAAAAAUUAUAUUUAAAUAAUUUAAAAUUUAAUGAAUCAAAUAAAAUCGAUAAAAUUCAAUUCAAAUUAAAUCAAUACUAAAAAAAAUUGAUUGAAUUUGAAUCAAAUUUAAAAAAUUUAAAAAGUUAUACAUUAAUCAAAAUAAUCCAACCAAACCAUCAUUAACUUACUUUGGAACCGCAUAACAAUUAUGGUCCCCUCAGUCCUCACCCAAGUCCAUUGAAGCCUAUCAACUGCAGCAGCUCCUGAAACCGAAAUGGGCAAUUGCCCCUCUUCCGUCCAUCGCAAUUUGUCUUACACGAUUCCAAACCAACUUCAUGCAUUCAUGUUAAGGCCCAAAGUAGAUCCACUCGAAACUUGCUUGAGCCCCUCAUCAGAGCUGAGGCCUGGUCCCCAAAAUAGCAGGGGUUGAGUUCCCAAACAUUAGCCUGUAGGGGAUAGGCUUAGAAAUCCAAGAUAUAAAAGCCCAUGUAAUUAAGAAAUGUGGGUUUGAGUUUUAAAGUAAUGACCCAUGUUAUUGGAUUCAAGCAGGAAUUGAAGCCCAUGUUGUUAGAAAAUGAUGACGUCAGUUCGAAACGAAGGCUCAUUAAAAUUUGCUGCCACAAAGCUAAAGUUGGUAGUCGCGGAUUCUACAUCAUUUUCGAUGUUGUGCGAUUAAAUUUAUUAUAUUAUUAAUUUUAAUAAAAUUUAUUUAAUAUAAAUUAUUUAUUAAUUAUAAUUAUAAUUAUAAUAAUUUUUUAAUUAUUAUUUUUAAUUUCAUUGCUUAUUCAAAUGAAAUCUAAUAACACACGUUGAGACGAAUAGUUAGGAGACAGGAUAAAGAAACAAAAGCUAGAGCUGCCUCGUCAGGAAAGCAAGGUGGCAAUGUCCAUGGUCAUGGACCACCAAAAGAGAUUGCACAAUUCUGAAAACCAAAAAGGUGCCAUAUACCAUUGUCUUCGGAUCCAGGACACAGCGAUUUAGUAGGCUUUAGUGCAGCUAGCUAUGCCACUGGCGUACGGCCACACCCUUGCCCAACACGUGUUAACCCUAAAGAUCAGCAAUGGCAACUUUUGUAUUAAUAAACCAAGAUCAAUAAAUUUAAUAAUUUAAAAUAUAAUAUAAUAUAAAAUUAAAAAUAUAUAAAUAAAUUUAAUUAAAAAUAUUUUAUAUUAUUAUAUUAAUAUAAAUUAUAAUACAUAAUUUUAUAUAAAAUAUAAUAUAAAAUAUAACUUAUUAAUAUUUUACAUAAUAUAAACACGUAAAUUAUCAAAUCUAACAAAAAAAAAAAAAAAAAAAACAUGAAAACGUUAUAAUGGUUACCAUGUGCCAAAGCUUGAUCAAGGAAAAGAAAGAGAGACAGCUUGGAAUCCGUAAAAGUUUGGGAAAAGGGGCAAAGGAAAAAACACCAAAGCUAAAUGGACCAAAUUAUGCCACAAAUCCACUUGUCCUCCAUCAACCUUUCUUUUGUACGAUUUUUGGUGUUUUUAAUCCUAAAUUAUGGGAUUUAAUUAAGGAGUUAAUCGAGUAUUGUAGAAUCUUUUAUCAUUUUUUUAUACAGCCCGAAGAUACAAACUUAGCUGCUGGAAAUAAUGGGGAAUAAUCCAACUUUAUCUAUGUGUUUUUGUGUGGACUUUAAAGAAAGUGAAAGUGACAAGCCAAGCAUUUGCCUUCCAAUAGAAAGGAUUCAAAGCCUAGCUACUCUUUUCUUUAUGGAUUUCAUGUUAAGUAUUUGACCGACAUCUUUUUCACCAACAGGUAAGAUAUGGGUUAGGUUUCAUAAAUUCAUUGUUAGUUACUUUGUUUUCCAUCUUUUUGUUAUCACGUGCCACACGCGCUCGAAUAUUACCUCGAACCUGACAACAACUUAACCGAUGUUUAACGGGUGGCGUGACCGUGCCCCUAGUGGCACAUUGGACUACAUUCUACUAUAUAAAUUAAGGCUCGAAUUUAAUUAGAAUUUUAAUUACAAUACUAUACUUAAAGUCAUAGUCCACCUAGAUAAUGGCUUAAAUUAAGGCGUAAUUCAAGGGUUGUUGAAAUCUAAGUUUAAAAAAGAAAGAAAAUAAUCCAUCCCCUGAAUUGUUAAUUUAAUUGGUGCAUUGAAAUAGGGCUCGAACUUUAAUUAAAAGUAAGCGUGAAGGGGCUUUUAGUAUGGGAGGAGGGAAACAUGGAAGGCCACUGUGGGUGGCAUAUACAACACAAACAAAAUUGACUUGAACAGAGGAGAAGAGAACAGGAGAACCUGAUUGGUAAUGGACAUUGAUAGGCACUCACAUUAAUCUAGAGACACAUUUCCCUGUCAUGCAGCUUUUAGUGUCACUGUAUAUUAGAUAAUUGGGGGAGGUUAGGUGCCUGCUUUAACUAUUGAACAGAUGCCAUCGGGAGUUGGCAAAAGUGAUAAGAGAUGAAUAUUGAGUAUAUUAUCACUAAGCUCGAAUUUUUAAUGGUUAUUUGUUAAUAAAUGAUUUAUAAAUUUAAAAAAUUUAUAAGUAAAAAUUUAAUAAAUUCGUAAAUGAUAAUUUAUUUUGAUUUUAAAAAUAAAGUUUUUUAAAUUAUAUAUAUAUAAAAAAGGAUUGGACUUAUGGAAUAUAGAACAACGAAGAAUGGUGUUUUUUUUUUUUUUUUUUUUUUCAGAUUUAGAAAAGGGUGCAAUAAUCGCUUCUAUCACGUGAAAGUACUUAUUGGUUGAUACAUAUAAAAAGAAAAGUCAUUAAUCCCGGUGCAACAUUAUAUCGUCAAAUGCCCCGAUUUGAUGUAAUACAAAAUUUGAGUUAUGUCUUUUUCAUAAAACAGGACUCAAAGAAACCCAAGAAAGGAAAUCUAUAAUAUAAAAAAUUGGUCAUAUUUUGCAUUUUAUGAUAUGUUCAGACAAAGAGAAUCUGCUGUUCGAGCUGUCUUACAGACAAAUAUUGAUGGAGAUGAAAUACUAGAUACGAUUUAAUUAAGAUCUAAUGGUGAUUAAGGAAAUAUUUGGUGAGAUCAGUGGGGAGUGGACCACUGUACAUUCUCUUCUUGAGAGUUGUGGGCUGCAAAAGGAAGAUUGGUUAAGAUUUCCUUAAGCAGGGGGAUGGCUUUCAUUAACCAAAUUAAAAAGAAUGCAAAAUCCAAUUGCCAAUAGCUGUUUAGGCAUCUAAUUGAAGUUGGAAUAUGAGGAAACAAGAGUUGGAAGUGUCGGGACAAACAUGACAGCCAUUAGUUUAAGCACUUCACUUCAUUAUUUAGUUUUAAAAAACAAGGGUUUAUUAAAUUCAUAAACAACUCAAAAGCAUAUAAUGGAAUCCCUCCCAUGCCAUGCGCAUCUUCCUCAGCCUAGCUAAGCUAAUUUCUUUCUUUCUUUCCUUCUUUCCUUUUUUUUCUUUGGUUUCUUCCACUAAAUAAUAGCAAUUACAGAAUCUCUGUCUCUCAAUGGUUUCAUCCUUGUCCUUUCUUACCACCAUGGGUAAACUUGGGUGAUCCGAGUUUAACCUUGGAAAAGAUGCAGUGCAAAUUUAUCUCUUUUUGCUUAAAAUAAACACCAACUCGAUUUAAAAACAAUGACCCUUUCAGUUUUUCACUUAGCAAACAAGAAAGCAAUAUGUAGUAAAAGCUUUUUAUCUUCUUCACUGGUUGUGGAAUUAACUCUCCAAUUAAUGUUCUUCCUGACAACCUUAUCAUUCAUCCCUUCCAACAUUGACAAAUCCACUCCCAUUUGCUCCAACGGGACCUAAUAGGACUACAUACCUAUUUCGACAAAGGGUUGCACUAGGCCACUAGCUACUACUUCUGAUCCAAAACCUUUAGCCAAUUCAAGCCACUUUAGAGAAUAAUGGAGUCAUCAGUGUGGUUUUAUAGCACCUAUAUAUUUACCAGCUGCAUUUCCUGAAUUUGCUCAAAUGGAUAAUCUUAGUGGCCAAAGCAUUUGCUCAUAAAUGGAUGAAUUCUUUUAGAUAAGAUAAUGAGCAGCAUCUAAAGUCAUCAUCCUUUUAAUUUCUCCUCCUUUCCAAGCACGACAGCUUCCCCGAAUUCCAAUUUUUUUUUCUCCUGUUGUUUCUAGUAAUUAGCAUCAAUGGCAGAAUCAAAUCUUGGUUACAGUGGGAUUUUAGAGAAUCAAAUCAAGACGUUAUAGCCAUUGACAUUUGAGCAAGGGUAAAUAUGGCGGCUGGGUUAACAGUGCAAAUGCAAACGGAACAGUCCUGAUUGGUGGGCAGGUCAGAGAGCUGUCAAAAUCAGUUGGAAGAACACGUGUAUGGAUCAAACUGUGUGGUCAAAAGAGGUACUUUCUGGGAUGGUGACACGAAUCAAAGUAUUUGAUUGCACCCCAUGUGCAUUCCCUUGCCACGAAAUCAGUCUUUGUCACCCUCUUAUCUAAACACCCUUUUUUUUAAUGGUCUUUUCACCAUGACUUAAAUGGCUCGGGUUUGAGCCACGUUUGCUUUCCUCCACCAAUCGGCUCUCAUCAGAAUUACCUCGUCGUUGUGGAACACUGUAACUUUCUCAGAUCAUUUUUUGCUUCAGUUUAAGUAAUCUUUGUGUCAGACGAGGAAAAACACAACGCAAUUCAACUGGUUUUCUUUUAGGAUUAACAACUUGCAGUUCUUUUUUUAUUGUCUUGUUUGUAUUCACAUGAUCUUAUCUUGUUGAUUUCUAGGUGUAUCUGUUUGCGUCUCUAGGUCAAAAUAGGAACUCAUCACCUCAAUGCAUGCGUCGAUUAAUAAUAUUGAACGUAUGGGUGAAACCAAAGAUGUUGGGAGGGAGAAUUUUUCAUGGAGUGCUAACCAUUAGCAAGUCCACUACUCUAAAAAUCUCAAUCAAUCUCCAUCAGAAAAUCAUUAUGGAUAAGAAAACAAUAUAUCUUUUCUAUCUGGAGACCAUUGGCAGACUGCCUUGCACUCUUUGCAUUCAGCCUUUCGUAAAAAGUUGAAGCAGCUUUUAGCCACACCCAGCCAACCAACUUGCUCCUCGUGCCUUUUAGCCCUCUAGUCCUUGGAUAACACCCUGCUUGGAUUCUGACCUGUGGAUAAACGACCUUUGCAACUGAUUUGAUGCAACUAAACCACCAUGAAAAAAAACAGAAAAAACUUUGCUUUUGAUGUCUCCUAAAGUCCCUUCAUUUUUUUCAUCUCAUCUGGUUCAAAUCAAGAUUUUUUUUUUCUUGAUAUGAUAGUAUGAAACUUUUUCAAGGCACAGAGACAAAGUCGUCGUGUCAUUCUUGUGUCCACUUGAAUAUUCCCCGGAAAGUUUUAGUCAAUAGCUAGUCAUGGCAGGUUAUGCAACCUAUAACAAACCAAGCAAGUCAUAUCUGCAUUUGUAAAAGUAAAGAACAAGAUGGAUUAUUUUAAGAAAAUAAAUUUCUUAGGUUGUUUGGGAAUGCAGAAAUCAAGGGCAAAAGUCUGCAACUUUUUUUCGCCCCAUUGUUCACUUAAUCCUAAAAAGGUGCCUCGAUGAUAAAGGGAUAACAAAAUGAGGCAGAUAUUAUUUGUCAAAAUGCUUCUCUGGUCAUGUUUAGGGAUGGGAGUCCAAUCCCUCUUCAGCAUAUUCUUAUCUAAUUUGAUUUGAUUUUUUAAGAUUAAUUUUUUAAAAAUCAAAUUUUAAGUUAAAUAAAAUUAAAUCAAUUAAUAAAAAAAAAUCAAGAUCAAAUUUUAAGUAAAUUUAUAUGACUUGAUAUACAUAAUUAUUUAUUUAUAUUUAUAUUCAUUUAAUUUUAUAUUUAUAUUAAAAAAUAAUAUUUUAUUAAUUUCAAGUUAGAUUGAAUCGAGAUUGAUUUUAUACAAUAUCAUAUCAAGUAUUAAAAAAAAAUUAUCAAAUUGACUAUGAGUAUUAUAAGUAUAAAAUCAGAUCAGAUUCGAAGCGAAUAAAAAUCUUAACUUGGCCUGUUGCCAUCUAUAGUCAUGUUUCAGUUCUUCAUUUCUUUCAUCCUUUUAUCUUUGUGAUUUUUUUAUGUAGCAUUAAAAGACUUACAUAUAAAUGAUACAUUUUAACGGUGACUGUAUAAAUCAGUUAAAUUAAAUUAAUAAUUGAUUUCGAUUAAAGCCUUUGAUUUUUAAAUAUGAUCAUUUUAAUCUCUACAAAAUAGAUUUUUCUAAGUUGUAAGAUAGUAAAUUUUAAUAACAUUAAUCCCUAAAAUUUUAUUUUGAAAUAUUCAUUAAUACUUAAGUUAAUAACAAUACAAAUGUGUCAUAGGAAAUUUUUAUUCCACAAAUUCAUGUCAGAAUGUGUUAUUUUGAAGAUAAUUCCUAACUGUUCGAAUAUUUCUCUUUUACCUUUUGUAUAUGAAGGUUUUUUAAUAUUUUUAUUUCUAUUAUAUUUAUAUAGAGAUUAUAUUUGUUAUAUUGUCAGUAUAUAAAUUUUAUAUGUUGUCAAUAAAGUAGAUGAUACCAUUUUAUUAAUAAAUAAAUAUCAAUUCUUAAAAUAAAUAUAUAAAAAAUAUAUUUUUUUAAAAUUUUUAUUAAUAAGAUAACAUAAUCUAAUUCACUAAUAAUAUAUAAAAUUAAUAUACUGAUAGUACAUCAAAUAUAAAUUUUAUAUACAUAUUUAUAUAUAAAAUGUACUCGCAUACUAUAUGCAUAAAUGCACUCACAUUUAUUCAUUUUUAUGUUUGAAAAAUCAUUCCUUUAUUUGAGGUGAAGUACUCAUGUAUAUGGUAAGUUAAUUAUUUGCAUACCAAAGUUUUCCAUGCAAAUUUAUGGCUUUUUGAAAUAAUGCACGUGACCUUGUGUGUGUGUGUAUAUAUAUAUAUAUAAUAUAUAUAUAUAUUAACUUCAAAAUGUUUUAUGUAUUUUUAUGUUUCGUACCAUAUUUUUUUUGUACAUAAUUUGUAUAGUUGGAAAAACAUAAUAUUGGAAGUUUAGUUUUAAAUGGUCACUUGUUAAUUAUUUCUUUUUUAAGUUAUGAUACCAAAAUUGGGAGGUUUAAUUAGAUUUUAAGUUGAAAAUAAAAAAUUACUCCUUUAAUUAGUUGUCAUAUCCAUUUUAAAAGUAUAUAUGAGGAGUGAUUUACUUAUAUUAGUAUAAGUAUUAGACUUUUUUUUAAAAUCAAAAUUAUUAAAUUUAAAAAUAUUAUUUUGAUUCAAAUGAAUCAUGAAUUUAAUUUUAAUUAAAAAAUUCAAAAAAAAUGUAAUACUUACAUUUCUCUUCUUCUAACAUAUACAUAUAUAUCUUUAAUUUGUUUUUAGUUACAAAAUUAUCAUCCAUCCCCCUAUUUUUUCUCUUAAAAUCUAUUGGUUCCAAAGUUUGGCUAAACUGAAUUGUCGGAAGUGUAACAAACAUUUUUUUUUAUUUUUUAAAGAUAUUUUUAGAUUACGGCUAAAGAUUUUAACUCGAUAAGGAAAAUAUAAUUUAAUAUUUUAAAAUAUAAUACGAUGAUAUAAUAUAAAAAUAAAAAAAAAUGAUACAAUUUAAAAUUUUAAUAAUAAUUUUAUAUAAAUUUAAUAAAACAAAAAAAUUAUAUUUUCGUAUCGACAUAAAUUAUAACACAUAAUAUUUAUAUAUUUAUAUAAUAUGAAUACGUUUAAUAUCAUAUAUCCAUAUAUCCAAAUUUAGAAACCACGGUGUUAUAUCAUGGGAAUGCACUGUAAUAAAAUACCACUUCCCCCAGCUUUAGUUGAUAAACAAGACGUCAACAAUGACGACAUAUCUGGCCACCUUAAAAGAUUAAUUUCCCCAACAACCUUAAUGUCUUUCCCAAUUUAAGAUUAAUAAAAGACUGAGGUUCUUCCACGCAGCUGCAUUUUUCUUAACUAUAAAUGAAGUACUAAUUUACUGUUAGUAACAACAGUUUUCACUCGUCUCGAGCCACGAAUGAGCUAUGGUUAAAAGUUAAAAUCCAUGGGGUAUUGGCUAAAGCCGAAUGGCUUGGCUAAUAGUAGACAUGGAAAUAGGUGAAAUACUAUUACUAUCUUAUUCGACAACAAUGGUGACUUGCAAUGUACAAAUCCAGAGGCCAACCAUAGCUCAUUGUUUAUUGACUUCAAAGUGUUCAGGUUUGGGAUCCUGUUUAAAUUUUACUAACUAAAUAGUGUAUUUGUUCCUUGCCCGUCACCACCACAGUCACCCUUACCUAUUCUCUUAAUUACCUAAUUAGGAAAGCCUAAUCCAAAACCUAGCUAGUUUCAUUAGAGGAUUCACAAUUAAUAAGACUCUCAUAGAACUUAAAAAAAAAAAAAAAGAAAGAAAUGGAAUUAGAAAAACAUAGAUUUCAUAGUAUAUGAUUUUUUUAUACAAAAGAUCGUAAUUUUAAAAUAAAAAAAUUAUAUACAUUGAAAUUAAAAUUUUAAAUUAAAUAAUUAUAUAAAUUAAUUGAGUUAUAUUUUAAAAUUAUAAUAUAUUAUUUUUUUAAUUCAAUUGUGUAUUUGAUUUAAUGACGUACGUAUAUUUUUUAUUCAAAAUCAAAAAGUGGAUUUCAAAUUUUUUUCAAAUAAAAAAAUAAAACUAUUCAUUAUCUUCAUUUACUUCGCCAUACACCAUUGAUCAUGUGAGAUAUUGAGGACUACAUCUUGCCACCUUUUUAUUGGAAUCCAUAUAGUGAACAUUUUGGGAUUUUGUUGCCAAUUGGGGGCCAAAAUAUGGUUGACAUAAUUUUACCAGAUAACUAUAACUGGAAGCUCCUCACCUACAUUUUUUUUUUUUUUGGACUAGGGGAGAGGGUUUAAAUGUAACUAACAAAAUUGUACCAUAUAUAUAUAUAUUAACUUAGUCAUGUGGUAGCUAGUUCAAUCUUUUGUCUAGAAUUAAUAUACUAAUUUCUAACAUACAACAAUGGCACUGUUGUUAUUCAUAAGACAAUGAAGUCCAAUCUUUGAUAGGAUAUACUCCCAAGGUAGACAAUCAGGUGCUUAACUCCUACUCAACUCUAUAAAUAAACAACAACGUUACUUCCCAACACAUCCAACUUCUCUAGCGGAUCAGAUCAGCCAUUACUAAAUAAAUUUAAGAGAGAGAGAGAAAGUCAGUGAAUUUAUCAAAGGAUGACAACCCAAAUGAAUGAGCUUCAAGAUCAUAUGGCUCUUAUCUCCCAAAUGUACCCUGGUGUAUACACCCAAAUUGUACCACAGCAAGGUGAUUUAAUUUGUGUGGUGAAACUUACGAUAAAACAUACUGUAAUUCUUUUCCAUUUUUAAGUCUUGCUUGAUUAACCCAAGCUUGUUGAUGAUAUGAUGAUGAGCAGGGGAAUCAAAGCCUCGACGGCGGCGGAAGAAGAACAAGGGAGGGGAAAACGGCCUGGCAGGGAUUAAAAAAAGGAAGCUUAGCCAGGAACAAGUUAAUCUUCUUGAACUUAAUUUUGGUAAUGAACAUAAGCUCGAGUCUGAAAGGAAAGACAGACUUGCUUUGGAGCUGGGACUUGACCCUCGUCAGGUAGCUGUCUGGUUCCAAAACCGAAGAGCUCGCUGGAAGAACAAGAAGCUUGAGGAGGAGUAUAGCAAGUUGAAGUCUGUCCAUGAAGGCGUUGUUCUUGAGAAAUGCCACCUUGAAUCCGAAGUAUGUAUCUAUCUCUUUCUCUCUUCCAUACAUUUUACAAAGAACAACAGUUCAUAUUCAUGCAAACCCUUUUCUCUUUUAAAGUUUUCUUAAUUAUCUUUUAGAUUUUUAUCAUUUUCUUUCUGGUUUCUUAGCAACCAAACAGAAGCUAAUGAUACAAUCAGGCUGUUCUCUUCUGCACUUUUUUUCUCAGUGUCUGACGGGGUCGACAUACAGGUUUUAGUUUUUUCUUGAACAUUAAAUUAUUAUUUUUUUUAAAGGAUGAUGGGAGCUUAGUUCCGUAAUUUAUGAACAAUUUUCAAAGAUUAAUCGAUUAACAAAAUAAUGAAGAGCUUUGGUUUGAAGGAAAUCAAGCCAAUUAAGCAAGUGCCUAUCCCUUUAAUCUUUAUCCUUGUGAUAAAUACAAGGUGACCCACCAUACAAUGAGCUCUGGGCUCGAAGAAAGCCAUGCCAUGCUGUUGGGUUAGAGCAUUAGAAAAGUUUUAAAGUACCUUGGACGAAAAUUGACUAAAAACAUUGACAAGGAACAGCAAACUGCCACCUCAUUACACAACAAAAAGUACUUAAAAUUUUGCAAUCAAGACAAUGUCCGUACGGUCUGGUUUAAGGUGCCUGUUGUUGGGCUUAACCAAGGCCCACUUAGGGAACAGCAAAUUGGAUUCUUCCCACGUGGGAAACUGCUCACUUUGUACUACAUUAUUUUACAAGGAAAGAUGAACAAGAACAGUUUUUUAUUAGACAUAAAAAUUUAUAAAUUUUUUUAACUUACUUGUAGGUUCUAAAGCUUAAGGAGCAACUUUGUGAGGCAGAGAAGGAAAUCCAACGGCUGGGGGAGCGAGUGGAUGGGGUUUCCAUUAAUAGCCCAAGCUCAUCUCUGUCAAUGGAAGCCAUUGAUCCACCUUUUCUAGGGGAGUUUGGAGUAGGAUAUGAUCAAGAUGUUUUCUACAUAGGAGAAAACAGUUAUAUUCAUGGCAUGGAGUGGAUGAAUCUGUACAUGUAAUUGAACUAAGUAAGUUAGUACAUUUAGUAUGUGUAAAUAAUUAUGACAACUACUGUAAAUUAAUCCUUAAUUUUAUCUCCCAUGUUGUGUUCUAAUGUUAACAAGAACAUGAAAUUUAGAAAUGUUAUUAACUACUACCAAAUAACAUAGUUUUUUGAUGGGGAUGAUUGAGUGAAGGAGAUAAAGUCAACUGUUUUUGAAUAAUGUUAUAAUUUUUUAUUUAAUAACUAUAAGAUGUCAAUCCCAUUGGCCACAAACUUUGUCUCAUAACAAUAUAAGACUUUAUAAAUUCAGAGUUUAACUCAAUAAUUUAUGUAAUUAUUUUUAAAAGAUAAUAUCUAAUAAAUUUAAAAUUUAAAUAUCAAUGAUCUAUUUUUUUGUCUUUAAAUUGUAAUUUCUUUCAUAAAAAAAAAAAACCCUUGUCAUUUUUGGUUUAAGAAAGAGUAAAUCCGUGUACUAAUCCAAGAAGAAUUUAGGGUUUUUUUUUUCUUUAUUUGUUUGGAAAAGAAAACCGAGUCCCGAGCCAAAUGCUCGAAUGUUUUUUAGGAUGUUUUAAUAAAGCAAAAAGUGAAAAUAUUUUUCCAGCAAUGCAAUGCACCAAAAUCCUCUGUCAGAAUAUAUUUGGGUUGUAUAUUCUACAAUGACAAAGAGGAUUUUAAGACAUUGAUCUCCACCACAAAGUAUGGAACAUUAAUUCCCCCUCACCAUCAUAUAUCCCAAGUCCCAACCUACACAAAGCCUACACCAAAAGGAAACAGAUAAAACAAUAACGUUUAUAGCAAGAUUAUGACGAAGACAAAGAUUGCGAUGAUGGUUUGUUUGCUGAUACAAGGAAAGAAAAACUAUAUUGGAAAGUAAUAAGGAAUCUUUAAAAUGAAAGGAACAAAUCAAAUCAAAGGAUAAUAGAUAAAACGAUAAUGAUCUUCACACAGUACUCUUGGCCUCUUAGGCCAUGUCAACCAACAAGGGACAAUAAAAUUAUUCAUAUUCAUGAGGAAAACGGGACACCAAGGUGUUUGCUUGCGUGACACAAGAGAAUGUUUUGCAGUUUAUGGUAGCAGGUCAAAGCCAAGAUGCAUGGCCAUGAAAACCAUCUAGUGGUCUUGGCCAUUGUCACUUGCUGGCAUACAUAUAAAAUUUUUUUUUUGGUCCGAAUAUUUGAUUCAAUUGUUUAUGUAUGUUUCUAUAUUCUUUGAAUUGGAUUCAAAUCUCUCAAUUUUUAAAUAUAAAUUUUUUUGAGGUCUUUAAUUUCAUGUAACAUUUAUAUAACAUAACUAGUUUUAUUUGAGGUAAAAAUCAUUAGAGGUAUUCAUUCUAUCGAUUUGAUUAAUUUUGACUCGAAUUAUUUAAAAUUAUAUUAUUUUAUUUUAUUUUCGUUCACUGAACUGAAUUUAUAAAAUUUUAAAAAUUAACCGAUCAAAUUUAAUUUGAUUGGUUUUGUUAAAUUUUUUUAUUAACAGAAUAAUAAAUAUAUUUAAGUUAAAUUAAAUUAUAAAAUCUUAAUUUCUCAUAUUUUAAACAAAUUGAAUAAAAUUAUCUAACAAAAUAUUCAAAUACUAAUAUAUUACUUUAAAAACUCUAACAACUUAUGAAAUUACAUGAUCCAUUUCAUAUAUUUUUUAUUUUAUAUUUGGAUUAUAUUAUAUUUCAAUUAAUUUAGUUUUCGAAUUUAAUUAGUCAAAAAACAAAAAAAAAAUUUUUAAUUUUUUUGUUAACCGAUUGUAAUUAAUUUGGUAAUCGACCUAUGAACUAAAUUAAAUCAGUUUCAUAGGUUAAUUCGAUUAAAAUCGAAUUAUGAGCACUCUUAGAAAUCAUUGAAUUUUUUUUUUUUUAUAGAUUUGGAUAUUGGAGAUAUGAAAGAUAUAUAUAGCUUUUAUAAACAAAUAUUAUGUUAGUAAAAGAAAAGCAGAAGGUACAUAAGGUAGUGUGUCUGUUUGUUGAUAAAAGGAAAGACAAAAGAUAAUGGAGAAACAAGGAAUAGUGUUUACAAUAAAAGCAUAAAAUCAAAGGAUUAAUUGAUAAGGAUCGAUGAUGAUCUUCGACUCACUCUUUUAGACAAUCGAUCCACCUUUGUCUACCAACGAGAGGCUUGCGUGACAGACCAGGAUUUGCCGCUUCAGGUUGCUGGUCAAGCUGAAAUGGCCACGGAAACUAGAUGUAGAAUUCAUAGGACAUCGUGAUGUAGGGCAUGAUCCCUUGUUUUGGACCCAAGGCUGAAAUUUUAGCUAGCGACCCAGUCGGCUAGGACCAGCCUUGAGAAGAGCUAAACAAAACAGCCCAGUUCAGUCUCUUUAUCUUUACUAGCCCGUUUCAGUUCAAAGAACCUGGUUUUGGUCCCUGGUUAAAUCGGUACAAAGCCAUGGCCCGUCAAGAACAACCCACGUCCGGUUCAAUUAAAGAUAAAAGCAUCAAAUCCAAGCAGAUUCCGGUCUUUAAUUGAGGAUUUCCACGGACAAAAUAAAUGGACAAUAUUCGGUCAAAAAAAUACAAGUGGAUAAUAUAUUUAAAUAGAUUAGUUAUAUAAUAAUAAUUUUAUUUUAUAAAAAUUUAAAAAAUAUAUACUUCAAUUUGAUUUGAUUUAAAUUUUUUAAUUUUUAUUUAAAAUUUAAUUUAAAUUUAAUUGGAAUUAAAUAAAAAAAUCAAUUCAAACCACGAAUUAGUUCUUUUUUCGCCUCUAAGUCUAAAUAGAUAAUAACUCUAAGAAAAAAAAAAAAACCCAAAAGAGAGAGAGAGAGAGAGAGAAACGCCGUCGUUUGAGACAAAAUUUCAUUUUCUUCGUUUAAACACUUUGACUCCGUGUCAUAACGUUGAAUUAUCCGUUCAGAUGAUAUGUCAUAAACCUAAUCCAGUUAUCCAUUCCCAGCUGUCUUCCCCUACCAUUCGCACGUGUCACCUGCCAAACCCUAACCCCUUUUCCUCUUUUGAUAUCUUUCCUUUCCCUCCCCUUUCUCCCCUUCCCUCUUUCCAUUCCAUCCUUAUCCGUGGACUCACUUUAUGCACAACAGCAACGCACCCGACCACACUGGAUCAGAUCUUUGUUCUCCUUUUAAGACAACAACGACAACAGCUGCUCCUAACAGCUACAAUAGAAACAAGAGUUUCCUCUCUUAAUUUGUACUUCAAAAAUCCGUACGUGUGUUUUGUUUUUUUCUUCUUGAGCCUUACGUGGUUAUCUUUCUAUCCUUAAUUCUCAGCCGUUAGAUCAUUAUUUUCUUUUUUAAGUGUUCCACUUGGACUUCCACCUCACUUCUCCCUUCAGCACCACGAAAACAGGUCCUUUUUUUUUUUUUUUCUCUUUUCUUUCCUAUUUUUACUUCUUGAAAUUUGUUUUUACCUGUAAUUUAAAAUCAUUUAGUUCUUUAUACCAUUAAGAAAUUGGUUUCAUGAUCUUUUGAGCUUUGCUUCUGUUUGACUACAGGGAAUCCCUGUGGGUUAAGGCUCCUAAUCUUUGGAUAAGAUAGUUCUUUACCAUAUUUAUGGUAAUAAUAAAUUGAUUUAUGGUCUUUUUUCUAACAUGACUGGGAAGGAGGUGGAUGGAUUCCAGCUGUAAGACGUCUAUUGCUGGUCAACGUUAGGUUUUUACUAUAAUCUAUAAUGGAAGGAUAAGAGGGUUAAAUGUUGACAACCUUUAUCUUUCGGCUCCUAAAAACAGUUACUGCCAAGUUAUGGUGGUUUUUUUUUUUUCCCUUCUAAUGUUUGGUUAAUUUAACAACAGUUGAAAGAGUUGAAUGUUUUCUAGGAAACAAAUUGGAAAGAACGAAUAUUGUGUUUUUUUUUUAAGGUAAUUUUUGGAAUUCAAGAAUUGAUGUCAGAUAACAUGGUGCUUUCCUCUGACUUCUUCAGUUGUUAGGACAGGAUGGAUGUUCCAUUUUAUGUUGGUUUUAUGGAAGAUCAGAUUGUUUUGUUUUGUAGUUUAUGGUGUUAUGGUGUUGGUAAGCUUUCAGUUGUAUUAUCUUUCUUUUUUGAAGUCGUUUCAUGGUAAUAUGCUGAUAUUGAAAUUUGCAUGGAUUUAUGUUCCAUGAAUCAUGUUUUGGCUUGUAAAAUACAAAAACCUUGUGAAGGCUCGGAUGUGAUAACAUUUAUCUGAUUCUGCAUAUUCCAAAUAGCAAGCAAUAGUUUAUUGUUUGUUUUUUCCCUUGUUAGCCGUGACAUUGGUAAGUAAUUCUCUUUUGACCUCUCAUUUCUGACAUACGUGGUUGCUUGGUAUCGGGUUCUCAGGUGCUUCAUAGAAGUCAUUAAGGAUAUACAAAUUUGAUUCUAAAUUAGUUGAAUAAAGAGGUUUACCAAAGUUAUUAUGGGAACUGAAGAGGAGAGCACCCCUGCCAAGCCUUCCAAAUCUGCAGCCUCAACUCAGGUUUAUCAUAGUUGCCUCCUCCCCACCCGAAGAAAACAAAAAAUGUGCCCAUAUCAUUCUUGUUCUCUCAUCACUAACAUGCGGAUGAGUUUUACCGAUUUUUCUACUUUGUACUUGUAGGAAGUACUAAAAACACCAUCAUAUCCUGAUUGGACAAACCCGAUGCAGGUUUGUAUAGCACAUAAACCAUAGGGUUUGAUUCUUGUUUAUGAAAUUCUUAAAAAGUCGUUACCAUGUAAGUAAUUUUUUGAGCUUACAACUCAGCUUAUUGUUUAGGCUUAUUAUGGAGCUGGAGCUACUCCACCGCCCUUUUUUGCCUCAACUGUUGCUUCUCCAACUCCUCAUCCAUAUAUCUGGGGAGGCCAGGUGAUAUUGCUUUUGAAAUCACCAUUAUGCAACAGUCUAUUUCUUUCAAUUUUUUAUCAUAACAUUGUUCUUACUUUCUCUUCUGUUGAUAAUCUUUCAGCAUCCUUUAAUGCCUCCAUAUGGCACCCCAGUUCCAUUCCCAGCUAUAUAUCCUCCUGGGGGAGUCUAUGCACAUCCUAAUAUUGCCACGGUAAUAUUAGUGUGUGUGUGUGUUUGUAUUUCCUUUUGAUUCCUAGUUAUUCACUAAAUAAAAGUUUGGCACAGAAUAAUGCUGAUCAUGAGGGCAAGGGUGCUGAUGGAAAGGAUAGAGGUGCCACCAAAAAAUCGAAGGGAACUUCGGGAAGCAAGGUUGGAGAGAGUGGAAAGGCAGCUUCAGGCUCUGGAAAUGAUGGUCGCUCUCAAUGGUGCAGUAGCCAUUUGAUGUUUCAACCUUUUCUCUAACACAAUUGUACAUUUAUUCUCAACAUUGGGUUUUGGUUAAAAGAUUUCUUAAAUUUCAUGCGUACCUCUAUUAAUUGUAAGUUCUUUCUUAACAGCAGUGAAAGCGGCAGUGAGGGUACAUCAGAUGGAAGUGAUGAGAAUAAUCAACAAGUAUGUUUGUAAUUACCAUUAUUUGAUUAUAAUCAAGGGCAUUGACUACUUUAGAAAUUCAGUUUCCCUCGUCAACAUGGUUUACUGGCUAGCAUGUUAUUACGAUGAAUUGUCCUUUCUAACGAAUAUGUGCCUUUUUCUCUUCAGGAACCUGCUGCUGAUAAAAAGAGCUUUGGUCAGAUGCUUGCAGAUGGUAUGUUAAGUUUCUGUAUGAAUUUCUGCUUUUAUAGUAGGAUAAAUCACAAAAACGAGCUUCAGGUUAUUUUGAAAAUAAAGGGUUUCUCUCUAUGAUCUCAGAGCACAAACUUACUCCCUGGAGAUAUUAUAAAAUCGGGAGUGGGGAAAGUGUUGUGAGGAACUAUGUGUAUGAAAAUAGGAAAAAAAAAAAAGAGUUGCUAAGUGUACUUCUUGUAAUAAACUUAGAGUUGAUUUUGUUGAUUUGUAUACCGUGAUAAGUUUCUUAUUUCAAAUAGCUCUUGUUACCAGCCAAUGCACAGAAUAAUACCACUGGGGCUUUAGUUCCUGGGAAACCCGUAGUCUCUAUGCCUGCAGCUACUGUGAAUAUAGGGAUGGACCUAUGGAGUGGAUGCCCUGCUGCCACAGGAGCUGCAAAAAUGAGACCCAACUCAUCUGGUGCUGUAGCCACAGUUCCUGCUGGAGGUGUGAUGCCUGACCAGUGGAUUCAAGUAUGAGCUUUAGUUGGUGGUUUUUGUUUCUUAUUUUGCAUGUUUAUUCAUUACUAUUUACUCCAUUUCUAGUCCAAUAUUCUGCUCCUCAAUUGUUAAAACCUGCCCUAGUUCUUAAGGUCUAACUUUAUUUGCUCCCUUUUACAUCCUUUAAGCGGCUAGAGCAUUUUGGAUGUGACUUACUUCUGCAUUUUGGCUUUCGAUAUCAUAUACUUCUGCUAUUUGGUGUUUUUAACUAAAUUGGCGCUCUGGGUUCUUGCAGGAUGAACGCGAGUUGAAAAGACAGAAGAGGAAACAGUCUAAUAGGGAGUCUGCUAGAAGAUCAAGAUUACGCAAGCAGGUCGGCUGGAUAUUGGCAUUCGUCAACAAAUGGUUCUAGAACUUAUUUCUAUAUUUUAUGAAGUAUUAUACAGCUUUGGCUUAAGAUACGUCGCUUGUAUUGGUGUUACCAUAGGCGGAUUGUGAAGAGCUACAAGCCAGGGUGGAGAACUUGGCGAAUGAAAACCGCAACCUUAGAGAGGAACUAAAGAAGCUUUCUGAUGAAUGUGAGAAGCUUACAUCAGAAAAUAGUUCUAUUAAGGUAUGGAAAGGCUACCCUCUUUCACCCGACACUUUACCUGAGAUAUUUUCAUUUUAUCAAUGCUCAUCUAUCUUUGUUCCUUGGUUACAUGCUUCCUCGCUACUAUUAUCUACUCAAUGGAGGGAGAGUGAAACCUCACAGAUCAGUAAACACUAGUACCAGUAUCAUUUAUUGAAUAUGUUGCAAACCUGCUAUUGUCACAGGCUGAGAACUUAAGCCUGAACUUAAGCCUAGCUGCCGUGCUAUACGUGGAUCAUGACACUAUCACUUCUUCCUUGUGCGUAGUUUUGAAUUUAUUAUCUACAAAUAUGAUUUGCUUCUUAUAUAACAGGAUGAGUUGAUGCGGUAACUAACCUCAAGCAUGACAACCCCUCUUCGAUUCUCAAGUGACGAGGUGGUGAGGGGAAUUCUUAGGAAGGAAACCUACCGGAUAACUUGCAGCCAGUGCAGUAAUUUCUUAGUAUCCAGCCAGGGCAUUAGUUUUCCAUACAAAUCUAUGCCUUUAACCCUUUAUAACUGUAAUAUGUAUAUCACACGCACAAAGUUUUAACCAGAGUUCAAAUUGUUGUAUUGUAGUUGAUUGGGAGACAGGAAGAGUGAUUCAACCACUAUUCAGAUUUUGACCACAUUUGGAUGUUAGUGUUUUUAUUUAAAAUAGAAAUAAACUUUGUCUAUGUUGCCAUGUAACGAUUAAUGUGAGAAGCCGGCAUCAGAAAUGGGGAAAAUGAGAUCAAAUUUUUAUUAUAAGAAUGCUGCCUGCCUACACCCCAAAAGAAGCAGCAAUCAUGCUGCCUGUCUCACAUUAAAGGCCAAAUCUAUAACAUAAAAACACUACCCCAGGUAAAACAUGGUACUAACCUACAGCUCUCUCCUUUGGGAAAGAGAAACUAAAAGUCAGUCGUGAUCAGACUCUGGAUUUGAGAUGAUUCUUGUUCGUCAGUCAUGAUCAGAUUCUGGAUUUGAGAUCAUUCUUGUUUGGCCACUGAUUGCACGUAGCCCCUUUGGUUCACUCACCUUUGGGCGUGCUAGCCCAAUAACAAUAAGUUUUAGCAUGAUACAGAGGAAAGUAGGGAAAGAAGCAAAUAAGCUAGUAGUUUUAAGUGGUAUUAUGCUCACCGGAUCCUCUAAUCUUCUUGAGCAUUGUCCUAACAAAUUGAUACUCUUCUGGGCGCGUGCUGAUGAAUCUUGCCUGCAUAUGGAGAAGUGCAGAAAAUCUCUUCACAUCCACAUCUUGUUUAUAAAUUGGAAGGUGACAUAGGAAUUGGAACCAAACGCGGAUACCAAAGAAAGAGCCAUGUCAAAAUAUAACCUAAUAAGGCGGGUUACAUACCAUUUCAGCACAUGCAAAGCCCAUAAGUUGAUCAACUCCAGCUUGAUGUUUCAACAAGAAAGGACGCAGGUGGUUCUUGUAUAUUUGCUUAGCCCCCUGUUUAAAGCAAUUUCAUACUAUGAAUAAUGCCCACCUAAAUUAAAAUAUAAUACAGACAAAGGUAUCAAAAAGAAAAACACAAGCAGAAAAGUAAUUAGAAACAAAAUAAGUAAUAAAUGCAAUUAAACAGAGGCAGAAAAACAACAUAGAAGAUAAAUAAAUAAAUAAAACAAAAGAAAUAAACAUCUCAGCACCUCAUUUACCCUGGCUUUCGGAAUAAAUGAACAUUCAAACAUGAUUUUGAACUUACUUCAGUAGAUGGAAGUUGAAGCCACACAAGAAAUGCAAACUUGAAGUGAUAAUAAUAUGGAAACCUGUGAGAUGCGAAUAAAUAUUGAAUAAUGUAGCAAGUCAUGUAAAAUGAUGCAUAAUGGAAUAUCAGACAGUUUACGCACAUAAAUAUGUUACCAGGAAAGAAGUUUGUCAGAGAAUGCUUCAACAAGGGUGAAAGAUCCAUAAGCUGCAAUAAUGAGAAGUUCAUGUACAUCCAGAUUUUCAUUCAAAUCAAUAAUAAUUCAUUGAUAUAAUUCAUAAAAUUCACCACAUCAACAUGACACAAAAGUCGAAAAAGAAAACAAGCAAAAGAAAAACCAAAUGCAGUAAGCAAACCUUGAGUUAUUACCCAUCAAAAUCCUAAUGAUUACUUCUACUCUUUUUGUUAGUUAAUGUUGUCUCUUUUUACAGCUUGUGUCUUCAUUUUUAUUCCAAAGUGUGUUAUUCAUUUAUUAUAUGAAUUUGUUAUUAGCUGCCCCCUCUUCCUUAUGAAUUAUAAAAUGAAAAGAGGUAAGAAAGAGUCACACCAGCCCUUUAUAUGCAUUUCCUAACAAAAAAUGGCGCCUGAUCCAUAGAAAACAAUGGGAGGUCAAUGGAAGCAAUGCACAACCAUUUAUUGCUACCCAACUAAAUUAAAUUAUCUUAACAAAGAACCCUUUAGGAUUCAAGUUUACAAAAAAGAAUUGAAAGAAGGUUUUGACUUGUAUUGGCAAAAAAACAGCAGUAUAGAAAACAACGAACUUCCAUUUUCUUUAAGAAAAUGGAAGAUGAGAUGAAUAUUCCUACAGUAUAGGGAAGAUGGUUAAAGUUCAAAAAUUAAACAAAACGGUGACGAUUGCAAAUUAACAGAGAAAAAUUAAAUAACAAUUUGCCAACCUGCCCAAUAUGUAAGCCACUUUUGCUGCUCAUUUGCAUCAUUCCUUUCGAUUGCCCUAAAUGUAGAAUAUACAGGUAAAACAAUUCCCACAGAACAGCUGCAACAGACACAGAGACGCACACAAAAAGAGUUCAGAUUGAAAUCCACAAAGGGUGAUUUCAGUUAAUGCUGGAGUUUAAAUUCAAUAUUUCUUCGCAUAUUAACAGAAAAAAUCAGGAAACAUAUCAAGCAAGACAAUAAGAGACAAGCAGUAGAUUCAAAUAAAACACACCAUGCUGCACGUGUAACAAUGUUGGAACCAAGUGGGCAGAGGAGCAACCGUAGCCCAACCUACAUUACAUGGUAUGCAAAUGAUUCAGAAGCAAGGUAACAAGCAUCAAAACUCAACACUAUAGUUUAAACCAAAUAAUAAAAACAUAUACAUCUUUCUAUAAAAUAUAAAUUCCAAAAGAAAAUUGUACAAAAACAAUGAGCAUGAUCUAGGCAAAGAAAUGAAAUUUAUUGCAUUCUCUAACUUAAGCAAACAUGGAUAAUCCACAAAAGGAAAAAGGAAGAAGCAAGAUAUUAUUAUUGCUUCUAAAUAUCUCAAAUUUUCUAAAUUAACUCAAAGAGUAAUAAACAUCAAAAAGUUAUUUCUACUUUAAUCCAAGAAUAAGUGAUUUCAAUGCUGAUUUUCAAAUAAACAAAAAAAUUAGAUAUGAUAAUUUAAAAGAUGACACGGUAACAUAAUUAAAACACGAUAUGAAAAAUCGAAAUGAAGGUGACAUGAUUUAAAAUUUUAAUAAUAGUUAUAUAGAUUUAACAAAACAAAAAUAUAUAUAUUUCAUGUUUUUAUAUUAACACGAAUUAUAACAAACAAUUUUCAUGUAAAACAGAUACAAAUAUAUGAAUUUCACUAUUUUACACCAAUCACCGAGUCUACAAAAAAUUAAUCAGUUUAUAAUCUGAUAAUUGAUGUUAGAUUUUGCUAAUGGUUUGGAGGGAAAUUAAAUCAGAUUUAAACCGAAUCUCAACUAGAAUAUAAAUCGCUGUAUAGGUAAACAGAUCCAAAAGAGUGAUCAAACGAAAUAUAGUAAACAAAUGAAAGGGGAAGAAACCGAGAAAAUAAGAUGAAAAGAGAAGAUGGCUUCGAACCUCGCUGGUUACAUUGGAUCCGAGAAAAGCCAUUCCAGGAUUGUGCGGAGAGAACCCAAACUAACCACUGUUUUUAACAUUUUAAUUACCGCUAAAAGUUUCUUUUGUGCUUUUGCGGGGUUACGGAGUUUUCGAAUGGAAAUAUCCAAACGAUGUCGUCUGGUGAAUCCCAUGUUUCCGUCUGGCUUUAUUUUAUUCAUGAUUGGGCCACAACGGGGCAGAUUCAAAUCGGAUUAAGAUAAUACAUAAAAAAAUUUAGGAGAAACAAAUAAUAGAAAUAACAAUAAAAAAAAUUUAUAUUUUUUUAUGACACAAAUUAUAAUAAUAAUUUUAUAUAAAAUAUAAUAUAAAUAUAUAUAUUUUAAUAUUUUAUAUAAUAUAAAUAUACAAAUUAUCAAAUAUUUAUUUUUAAAAUUAAUCAAAAUAACUCCUGAUGCUUGGAUGUAUAUACUUAAUUCUUUAAAAACUAAAUGAUGGAAUAAAAUUGUAAUUAAUUAAGUUUGAGUAUAUAACUUAUAAAUCAGGAUAUAUUUUGGGAAGAAAUUUUUUAAUGAACUUACAUGUAUUUAUAUUAAUAAUUAUAAAAAACAAAAAAUAAUAGAAUUUGAUUUCAUUACUGGGGAUUGCCCCCUGGGAUUCACAAGUUUUUGGUACAAAGUCUUGUUUGAAGAUUCAUAUUAUAUAAUUCUGGAUAACUGGAUAAGAAAAAACUAGUCUACCUAAAGCUUAAGGUACCCCCAGCUCUUUCAAAAUAGCUACACCAAAUUAGACCAUAAAAAUAUCCAAACACAGAAAAAAAAUAAAUUGGAUUGGGAUACAGAUAAUUACGUCCCGAAUCAAGCCUCUCCUCCUAAUCCUAUAUCCACUUCCAAGCUGACGUGGCAACCAGGGCACUCUUGCGCCAGCAAAGCACCAAUUGGGCCUGUCUUUUCGCCACCUGGAAUCCCUGAACCGGCAUCUUCCCUAACAAGCACUCAGCUUGAAAAUCCGCAAACUGACUCAAAUGCACCGCCCUCAUUCCCGCUCCAUAAAACACCUCCCUCCACGGUGGUGCUGUCCUCCGGGCAGCCACCUCCACCGCCGCCAAUAUCCUUGGCUGCAACAAUAACGUCUCAAUCUUCCUCACCCAUUCCCUACCCGCGACCGCCGCGUCCAACGACUCAAACAUCAUGGUGUAGAACUCCAAACUGUUCACGAAACUCUUCCGGAAUGACGUCGCCCCUGACUCCAUCCAUACCUCACUAUCCACAAAGACAACGACGCUUGGAUUAAUCCUCCGAAGGUCACUCAAAAACGCCGUGACGUUUAAACUGAGACAUCGGAAAAUAGACGGAGAUAAAAGAAUUGCCAUUUUUUCUCCUUCCAUAAAAUUAAAAGCUUUAAAAGACAACAUUUCGAAGGUUCGAAGAAGAACAAACUCAAUCUGAAACCUUAACUUAAGGUCUUGAGCGAACUGGAAAAGGUUGUCAUUGAUAAGCCUUGUCUCAAUGGCAUAUUCUUCGGGAACCACGGCAGUUACUCGAAUGAACUUGCAAGAAUGAUCAUCUCUUUCAGAUAUUUCUCUCAUUAAAGAAGCGUAUUGACUUCCCAGUCCGAUAUCAAAAUCGAUGAUGUGAAUCAACGGUGCUGAUCCAUCCAGUGCUUCGAGGAGAGCUUGAUUGGUCGUGAAGUGAGUGAACAUGGGAAUAGGGUUGAUCCCAGAGAAGGCCUUGUAGGCUUUGAUGGUUUGAACGAUUUGGCUCCAUGAAGAUAAACUAGUCGACCGCGUUGACCCGGUUAGUAGAGACUGGAGAGCUUCUUUGAAGUAAAAAGCGGCCCUUUGUAACGGUUUCCCCGAAGGAGAUCGUAGCCGCUGAUUGAGCCGCGCCAAUAUCACCUGCGCGAGCUGCAAUUCGUGGGUGUCGAAAUAAUCCGCAGCUCUUAUCAGUUCUUCUAUAAAAUCAAAGCCCAAGUUGAAGUUACCACUAUUAUGAAAAUUACAACUAUUAGAACUAUCAAGGUAAUUAUUAUUUAGACCCGAAUAAAAAUCGUAAAGAUUGUCUAAAUCAGAAUGGAUGGAGUGUUGAGUCAACUCGCAGGGCGUGAACACGGGGAGGUUUUGGAUAUGAUUUUCGCUGCUGGGACUAAUAGCUUGAGGAGGAAUAGUUUUGAUAGCAGGCACAGAUUCGUCAUCCAAUCCCAAGUCUUUCAUGAUGGAAUCCCAAUCCAUGUUUCGCAGCACAUGCUCCUCCCACUCAAGAGGCGCCUGAUGAUGAUGAUGAGGAGGAGGAUUCGACACUGAUAUACAAUUAGAAACAUCGACAGGAUUCGAAACCGGCUUUUCUGGCACCGCCGGACUUGGGUUCCGACGAAGAUCAAGAACCGAUGUUGGCUCAUAGCAUGAGGCUGAAACACUGUUAACGAAACUGAUGUUCCUGGCUCUAGUAGUACUGUUAUCGUUAUUGUUAGCUUCUGGGGUCAGAGAAUGGUUGUUUUGUGGGGCUGUAACGGGGACUCUCAUAGCUUUCAGAGCACAAAAAAGGAAAGAGCUCUGCUUUUGGUUUCUUUGCUUUUCUGCUUCGGAGGUUAAUGUUGAAAGUAGGAGAAGAGGAUAGUGGGCCGAGGGGGGCUUUUACAGGUUAUAAUUGCUGGCCUUUUACCUUUGCACGAAGACGGAGGGGUCAAUGGGGUGAGGACAUGGCAUCGAUGAGGAUGACAAUUGACAUAUAUACAUGCUCGACACUGGUCAGACCUAUCUUCUAUCAACUUUGAAGCUUCAAAUUCAAGCUUUUGCCCUUUUUUUUUUAGGAUUCUCACCCUUCUUUUUUUUUCUUUAAAUUCAUUAAAAUUUUCAAUAUUGAUUAAACAUUUAUAGACAGGGUAGAUGCUGAUAUUAAUUAUUGAUUAACUAUUAUCAUUUUUAUAUUAUAAUGAAUUUGAAUAAUUAAUUUUUACUUUUUGAUUGUAAGAAAAUGUUGAUCAUUAGACAUUGAUUUAGGUGAUACUUAACUAAAAAUUAUAUAAAUAAUAUAAAUUUAUAUUUGAUAUCUUAUUAAUAUAUAAAUUUUAUAUAUUAUAAGUAAAUUAAAUAAUAUCUUAUUAAUAAAUAAAUAUCUAUCAUUAAAAUAAAUAUAUAAAAAUAAUAUUUAUUAAAAAAUUUAUUUAUUACUAAAAUAAUAUUAUUUUAUUUAUUUUAUUCACUGAUAAUAUAUUAAAUUUAUAUAUUAAUAAUACAUUAAAUAUAAAUUUAAUUAAUAUUAGUUUUAUAAUUUAGUGAAACUAAUAUAUUAAAUAUAAUUUUUUUAAUAAUAUCUUAAGUUGUAACCAUCCUUAUUCAUGCUUAUAGUCGGUUAACCAAACCUUAGAUUAUAUUAUCUCUUCUUUGAAUAGACAUGCAGCCAAACCCCAUAGUCACAUCAACUAAGAAAGAAGAUUUUCAUAAAGUAAUUUUAAGACUUGGAGAGGCCAUUUUAAAAAACAAUUAAAUUAAUUGAACAAAACAUCUUGCAAUCUUUAAUUUUAUUUAUGAAAUUUAAAAAUUUUAUUAUAAAUUAAUUGAUAUGUUAUUGAAAUUUAUAUUUAAAAUUUUAAAUCAAAUAUAUAAUAAGGUAAAAAAAUUUAAGAAUAAAUUAAAAAUUUUUUAAAAAACAAUUUAUAAUAUAAACCUAGGAAGAGCAAUUUCGUUUUAUAUAUCAAUUAGUUGAAUAAUUAAGUUCUUUCACUUUGUUAUUAACCAAAACAAGUACAAAUUACAUGAAUUGUUUACUGGUGAAUUUAUUUUCAACUUUGUAAUUAUUAAAAGCCUUCUUUGACUUCCUGACCAGCAUGUCUUCAUUCAAACAACCAAACCUUUUGGGGCUGCAAGAAGUUAAGAUGUUCAAACGUCAUUAAUUUUCUCGAGAACCAAACAACGUUGGGAAGUUGGGGGAGGCAAGGAACCUCCCCUAGGAUAAAAUCUCAAAUCCAAAUUCCUACCAUCCACGUAUAAGAAAAAAGUGUAGCUCAAGAAUUGACAUAUCGACGUUCACAUCGGCAGCAGCCGCCCCAUUAAAAUAAUGCACAAAAGUACAUGGAAUUCGCUUGUUGACAAGCCAAGUGGCGACGCCAAUCAAAUUGGAACCCACAAAUCGACAUGGAACUUUGACGACCAAGAUAGGGUCCCACCAGAUGUCUUUUUGUCGGAUAUGCAUGGAUGUACCCAAAGAACGAAGUCCAAACCUUAAAUAGUAGUAAUAGUAGAGCAUAGAAACCAUGCUUACGCAGGACAGCUUAGGCUUUUUGACGGCGAGAGAGAGAAAGACAGAAGGGAAUAUGUUCCGAUUGAUGGUGGUGCGUUUCCCCGAUUGAUAAGUCUCUAUCCGUCCAUUUACGUGCAGAAAAAAGAACCACAACAUAUCCAAUGGCCCCUCUUUUUUUCGGUGAGGUCUUUUAGAAUGCGGUCCUGUGGGGUCCUCUAUCAUGGACCCCAUUACAAACCUAAUCAGAACGUGGUCGAGGUGAGUGUCAAAGCAUUCUCAAAUCACAUGCCUAAUUGGAGUCCAUGGAGCAGGGAUAAUAAGGAUUCAGAUUAAAUUGUAUUUAGUAUAAUUUUUUUAAUAAUUUAUAAAUUAUAAAAUUUUAAUUUUAAUUUUAAUUUUAAAUUAAUUUUUUAAAUUCAAUUUGAUUUAUUUAUUAAUUUAUUUAUAUAUAUAAAUUUAAUAAAAAUUUAAUAUAUUUAAAUAAAUAUAUAUAAUAAUUCUUUUUUAUAAAAAUUUAAAAAAUAUAUAAAUUAAUAAAAAUAUAUAAAUCAAUUUGAUUCAAUUUUCUUUUUAAUUUUUUACAUUUUAAUUUAAAAUUUUAUCUAAACUUAUUACAUAAAUUUAAUAUAUGAUUUUAAUUUAAAUCAAAUAAAUAAAUCGAUUCGAAUUGAACAAUAAAUUUUUAUUUUAAUUUUCAAAUUUUUAGAUUUAUUUUCUUAGACUUUAUCCUAUCACCAUCUUUAUUUUAUUUUUUGUAAUUAGCACUUUAAAAAGGGAAAUUUUUUCCUACCUCCAAAAAGAUGUUUAAGCAACUUUAUUUUUUAUUUUAAUUUAAAAAAAAAAAAACAUUGAUGACUUCCAAAUAACAUAAAAUUGGUUGCAAUAUAUCCUUUGUCUUGUAGCACUUAAAUCGUAAUCAGGCUGACAUGGGUAACUUUUUUUUUGGAAUCAUGUGGUUUUCCAAAUGUUUUUAACUUUUAAAUUUUUUUCAUUAUGUUAUUAUAGUAUUUGAUUUGAAUGGUUCUGAUGCUUGGUAAGGAUCCAAUGCUAUUAAAUUAUUCAAUUUUUUUAAGUUAUAACCAUAAUUUAAUAUUAUAAUCAAUUAUUACAUUAUAAUUAAGUUAUAAUUAUUAAAUAAUAAAUUAACAAUUUAAAAUAUAAUUAAAUAAUUAAAUUCAUUAUUUAUUUAUUUAAUAUUAUUAUUAUUAAGCCAAAGCCUUGUUGACUUAAGUUAGUCAUUUCUUGAUCUCUAUAUGCAAGUUGAAAUCAAUGACAUCAAUGGUUAACCUUCUACCAAAACUUCAUGAUAGUAAAGAUUGAAUCUAGUGAAAAGAACUACGUGCAAAACACAAUAAAAUACAAAUUUAUCAUUAUAUUUAUGUGAGUGAUUCAAAUUUAUUAUCAAUCUUUUAAAAUUAUUUUUUAAAUUAUAAAACAGUUUUUAUCACUAAUUGAAAAUUUAGUGAUAAAUUUGGACUGCUCACAUAAUGGUAAAUGUGUUUUUUUUUUUUUUUUUUUGUAAUAAUUUUAAAUCUUGUUACUUAGUACCAAUUGACUUAAGUGAAACAUUUCCUUUUUUCACAUAUAUGGUUUAUGAAAGUCUUCUUUUUGAAAAUUUUUUAGCAAUUAAUUGCAAAUUUUAAAGACUAUAAUAUUUUAAAUAUAUACUAAUUUUUCCUACUUAUAUUACAAACUAAUUUGUGAUUUGAUGUUUCAUUUGGGAAUUAGCAACAUGAUUAAAUAGGAAAUAAAGUUAAACAUCAACGAAUGCUUCUAAGAUGGUCCCAUCUCCCAUUAUAAGAGCUUCUAAAUUAAAAAACACUUAAAAGGUCUCAAAGUACUAAGGUUGGGGAGAAAAAAAUUGAGAAAUUGAAAUAUCGAUUUAAAAUUAUAGUAUUUGAUUUUAUUUGGAUUGAUUUUUUUUAUUUCGUUCGGAUCAAAUUCAAAUAUUAAAUACAUAUAUUAGGUUUGAAUCAGAUUUCAAAAAAAUAAAAAUAAAAUAAAAUUGAAUUGAAUUAUAUAUUUUUCUUAGUUUUUAUGUAUAUUUUAUAUUUUUAUAAAAUAAAAAUAAUAAUUUUAUAUCAAAAUUUACUUAAUAUAAAAAUUAAAAAAUUAAAAACCAAUAAACCAAACUAAAUUGAACGGUAAAUUUUGAUUUGAUUUGAUUAAAAUCGAAUAAAAAUUAAGUUUGAAUUAUGAUCAAAUUUUAAAUUUUUAUAAUAUUAUGUAAUAUUCGAAAAAAUUAAAUCGAAUACAAUCCAAACUUAACCGUUAUCAUCCUAGUUUAAAUUUCUAGCAUACCCUUAUGGAAGAAUUAAAUUAUGAUUGCUUUAAAGAAUGAGAGCUUUCUGUGCUUAAUCAUGGACACUUACUAUAAAAUUUGCAAAAUAAAUCAAGCAGAGGAUUGUUUCGACACCAGCCUAGCACUCCAGCUCCAUCCUCUAUUAUUUUUAUAACAUGCAUGGUAAUAUUUAUUUGUCGUAAUUUAAUGAAAUCAAUAUACAUUAUUUGAGUGAUUGACACUUGACUCAAUCCUUUUAUUUAUAUGUAUCGAUUUUUUUUUACUCAUUUUUCAAUUUAAAGACAUUUUUUACUUGUUCAUAAUUGCUUUUAAUUUUAUAAUUUUUUGUCUUUACAAUUUGGUUGAAAACAGGAGAUAUAUAUAACUCAAUGAAACCAAUUUAUACCAAUAUGUCUUACAAUUCACAUAUGCAAUAUUAAUACAAAGAAUAUUCCUAUAAUUGUAUUAAAAUAUAAUGCAAAAGUAAAACCCUAGAUGAUUCCAUUAGCAUCUGAAUUCAAAUAAAGCCACUAAUUGUUCAAAAUCUCUCAAGCUGAAACCCUUACCUUAAAAAUAAAAAAAGAAUUUUAUCUCAAGCACAUGAUCUGCAUUGCAACUUGCAAAGAUUAAUACUAGUAACAUUUUAUGGGAAUAAUUUUGAGUCACAAAUACUUUGGUAUUUAGGUUCAAAAUCACAAUGUAAAGUGGUAGGGGAAGGGAAAGGGAAAGGAAAGGAAGGCUUGAAGCUCACAAAAGAUGGAAGAUGUUGAGAUAUAUAUCAUUCACAAAAAGAUGGUCUCCCAUUACCCCCUAAAAGAAAAGGCAAUAAUGAGAGAUGAUUUUGGGAUGCAUAGUGGGAAGGGUUUUCUAUCUUCUAUUCAACAAGUAACCUUACACCUCCUUUUCCAUUAUGGAGAAUCCUUAAGGAUAUGUUGAUUUUGCUUUGGAAAAAAAAACCCUUUGAUUCAAUUAAUUAUCCUUUUUUUUUUCAAUCUCCAAUAUAACAUUAAUUUAUAAAUUUUUCUUGUGAUUCCUCCAUAUUUUAUAUGUGGGAUCCUAGUCUUGGUGUUAUUUGGUGGACCAUUAGGGCUUCCCAGUCACGUUAAGGUCAGAUGUUAUAUGGUGUAUGGUUAAAAGGCCUAAAGACUUAAAGGUGUUUGGUAUAAAUAUAUAUAUAUAUAUUUAUAUCUAUUUUUCUGUCCGACUUGAAUGAUGCAAAGACCAAUUCUGAUAGUCCACUUGAUUCCGAAUUUUAAAGCAUCAUAGUCAAGCACUAGUUGGUAAUUAACUUGGAAAAAUCAUGAUGAUGUUAACUACAACAUUGAAUUUGAUUAUCAAUCAGCUUUAUGCCCAACAUUGAAUUUGAUUAUCAAUCAGUUGGUAAUUAACUUGCAUUCUCUGGGCUUUAUGCCCUUUUCCUUGUGCAAAAAGUAAAAUCAGAACCUAUAAUCCAAGCCCAAAAUUGAACAUACUUCAAUCUGCAAUAUCUAGAAAAGAGCCAGGCCUGGUUCAUCUGGUUUUCCAAGAUAAGACUUUGGAUCUUUUGUUGUGCAAGCCAGAGGCCAGGCCACCAUCAUCCCAGAGAAGUGAGACAGACUGCAGUCCAUACUCCGUAUCCACCGCCAUAUCCUUUGCUGCUGGAACCACGUGGUCGUUGCGGAAAUUAAGAAGAUGAAGCCACUCAUUCAAAUUAAUCCGCUGCAUGCUUGAUCCCUGUCCUCUCUGUUGAAUUGGAAAUUAACCACUUUGUAAUUUAGCGGGAAGAGUUCUUCCAAGCUCCUGCCACCUGUUGCAUGGGCAUGCACGUGUCUUAACAGAAUUCCCACGUAACGUAACUUUCUAACCCCCAUCACCCACUUUCUUCUAUAUAAACCAAACUAAUUUUGCCUUGGCCAACACUUAACAUAGUGUUCAGAUUCUCAUCUCUUGAAACAAUGCUGAAGGGAACCUCGUUUUUCCAAUUUUCACUUUUCACAGUUUUUUACAUUCUUGCUUCCUUUCCAAGUGUUGAAGCUUCUUUGCAUGGAAAUGCUUCGGCUUUGGGGUAUUUGGUGCCGAAACAUGAGAGGAAGCACUUAGUUUUGACAGAAUAUGGAGAAAUCUCAGCUGUUAAAGUCAGUGAUGGAAGAAGAGGUUCAUACCAUCUUCAAUUCAUCACCAUGGAGCCUAACUCCCUUUUUCUUCCAGUUCUGCUACAUGCAGACAUGGUUUUUUAUAUCCACACGGGUAACGUGAUUUUAAUUGCAAUUUACAAUGGUAUAAUUAAUCAUAUAUACAGUGGCAUGAAAUAUUUCAUAGUCUUCACAAUUUUUUCCUUGAACCGAGUUUUGGUUUAGGAAGUGGAACGUUGAGUUGGACUGAUGAUAAUGAGAUGAGGACGGUGAACAUUCGGAAAGGAGAUAUAUAUAGGCUGCAUCCAGGGUCAUUUUUCUAUCUACAGAGCAGCUUAGAGCCUGAAAGAGAGAAACUUAGAAUUUAUGCGAUCUUCUCUAGUAAAGAAGAGAACAUAUAUGUAUGACAUGCUUUCUUUCUUGUUAUUUUAAUUCUAGUAAUUAACUUGACUGCAAAAUCUGAAGACUGAGUUUUAUGUCUGUACUUUGGUCUGUAAAUUUAACAAAUGCAGGAGCCAUGGAUUGGGGCAUACUCCAGAAUUAGUGAUGUGGUCCUUGGCUUUGGUUCCAAAGUCCUCCAAGCAGCUUUUGAGGUAUGAUUUUAACUUGGAUAGUUGGUUAGAAGCUUUCUAAUUUGAGAUCUUUGUUACCCAAUUCCAUGAAAGUGGUACUUCAAUCAUUUAACUACAUGCAUGUAGUUAAAUUUGAAAUUGAAAAUGGAUAUUUCAGUUUGACAUGAAUUACAGAAAAAGAACAUGGAGAUGAUUCUGCUCUAUGCCAAUUUUCCUGCAUAAUUCUAUAUAUAAUGUGAACUUCUGUCUCAAGGUACCCGAGGAUGUGAUCGAAGAAAUAAUGAAAGCUACCAAACCACCUGCAAUAAUUCAUGCAGUACCAAAGAAGAAGAAGAUCUUCUUCGAAUGGCAAACUCGACUCCUGAAAGCCUUUCUAGGGAGCAACAGGGAUGGCUUCGAUUCUAUCAAUGGCAAGAAGAAGAAGAAAACAAAAGCAUAUAAUGUUCUUGAAGCAGAUCCAGAUUUCAAAAAUUGUAACGGCUGGAGCCUAACAGUGGACAAAAAUGACUUGCGUUUAUUGAGGGAUUCCAACAUUGGAGUUUUCAUGGUGAACUUGACAAAGGUUUGUUUACACAGCUUUUCAUAUAGAGUUAUAGUGCAUUUGCUAAAAGUGAAAAUUUUUAGUGACACCAAUUGAAAAGAUUUUAUUUGUGUAAUUUUCUGAAGGGUUCAAUGAUGGGGCCACAUUGGAAUUCAAGAGCUUCAGAGAUAGCAGUAGUGUUGGAAGGUCAAGGGAUGAUUCGGGUGGCUUGUUCGAGCAAUGCUAAUGAAUCUGAGUGCAAAAACUUGAGGUUCAGAGUCAAGGAAGGAGAUGUAUUUCUUAUACCAAUGUUCCAUGCAAUGGCUCAGAUAUCUUUCAACAAUGAUUCAUUUGUUUUCAUGGGGUUCAGCACAUCGACAAAUAGAAACUAUCCUCAAUUUCUAGCAGGGAAGAGCUCUGUCCUAGGGUUCCUGGAUAGACAGAUCUUGGCUGUGUCAUUCAAUGUCAGUAACACAACAAUUGAUCAGCUUUUAACUCCACAGAAAGACUCAGUCAUAUUUGAUUGUACUUCUUGUGCUGAGGAAGAGGAAAGCAUAAUGGAGGAGGAAAUUGAAAGGGAAAGAGAGGAAGAGGAAGAAGCCAGGAAGAAAGAGGAGGAAGAUGACAGAAAGAGGAAGGAAGAAGAAGAAGCCAGGAAGAAAGAGGAGGAAGAGGCCAGAAAGAGAGAGGAAGAGGAGGCCAGAAAGAGGAAGGAAGAGGACGAAGCCAGGAAGAAACAGGAGGAAGAAGCCAGAAAGAGAGAGGAAGAGGAAGAAGCCAAGAAGAGGGAGGAGGAGGAGGAAGAAGCCCGGAAGAAAGAGGAGGGAGAAGCCAGAAAGAGAGAGGAAGAGAAAGAAGCCAGGAGGAAAGAGGAGGAAGCAGCCAGAAAGAGAGAGGAAGAGGAAGAAGCCAAGAAGAGGGAGGAGGAAGAAAAGAAGAGAAGAGAAGAAGAAGCAAGGAAAGAGCAAGAGGAAGCCCGGAGACAGGAAGAAGAAAGGCAAAGGAGGGCGAGACAGGAAGAAGAAGAAAGGAAACGACAAGAAGAGAAGGAGAAAGAAAGACGAAGGAAGGAAGAACAAGAGCAAGAAGAACCCAAAAGAAGGAAAGGAGGACAAGGUCGAGAAGAAGCUGCAGCUAGGAAGCAGGCCAAGAGACAGGAGCAAGAAAGACAAAGAAGAGCAGAACAAGAAGAAGAGGAGGCCAGGUGGGAGAGGUAGAAGCAAGGAGGGCAACAAGAGAAAAGAGAAACAGAAGAAGAAGGCAAUGACGAGGGCCAAAGAAGAGUUCCGAAGAAAGUGUGGGAGAUUUAACUUUAAUCCAUCCCUUGUUGGAUUUUCUAGUGCUUGGUUUUUGCAUGAGUAGUGAAUAAAGGACUCUCCUGCUAUGCUAUCUUGAGUUUAGGCAAUUAGGUUCCAUGUUUAAGUUUGAUGUAAAAAAGCUUUAUGAUCUCUGUUCUCUGGAUGCUGAUCUUCAAUAAGCUCUUUCGUUUUCUUUCACCAAUGACUGAACUAAGCUCUUUCCAUUUUUUUACUCCAAAUGACAGGGUUGAGACAGCCAUUUCGGCCCUGCUUUUCUUUAUAAACCAUCCUGACUAUGAUAUAAGAUCCUCAAGCUAACAAUUAGAAAAUUUUCACCAAGCUGUUUAUUUCUUGGUUUAUUCAAACUUCCCAGCAAUUGUUAGGAUUAUUUGUCAUGCUAUAUAAUCAUUAAUCUAUGGAAGUUGUUUGAACUAACGAAGCAAGGAUCAAAAUUUGUAAAUGAAAAGGAAUAUUGAAAAGCAAAUAAGAAUAUUUCUUUCAUUAGGUUUCAUGGCCAAAAACUGAACUAAUGUGCUUUCCAACACUACAACCCACCUGUGGCAAACUUGCAGAAGACUCGCACAUUGGCAGAGCUAGUUAUAUAAGACACAACAACAGUGAUAUCGUCAAGCUUGCCACCAUAAUAGUGAAACUCAGCAUCUUGAGCAGCAUUAGGAAAUGGUGUCUGACUGUUUACCGGUCCUUAUCCACCGCUCGUUCACGAGCCCAAGAUGCUAUCUGCUUAUCCAUUCAGAAGUUUGAAAAACCCAUUAAAGUUUAAGCUCAUUGUGAUUGUCUCUUAAAAUUGGGUUUUGUUUUGGCCCAUUUAAUGAAACCAAAAGUGGGCCUUUCCAAUAUGUUAUCAGAAGGGAAAAGAACAAAGAAGAAAACCAUGAAACACUGUCUAAACAGAUUUAGUGUUUUGACAUCAACUAGACAUUUCCAAUCCUUCUACUGAUUUUGAAAGUUUUUAUAACAUCUUGUCUUGUCUAUUCAGGUCAAGGAAAACAAGAUAAACGUCUUAUAUGAUUGGCUUUAAAUCUGAAUUAUCACUGCAAUUGUCUGCCAACAAUCCUCAGAAUGACGUGACUUAUUACCAACUAAUCAAACUACUAGAUGCAUAGAACCAGACACAGAUAUGGUACAAAAAGGAAAACCCAACACGGAUUUACAGACUAGAAAUUUAUUAACAGAUUGGAAGAUCAGGAGGUGGAGGUGGUAAAGUUUGCAUUUGGCCUUUUCCAUUCUUCACUAGAAAAGCCACAGACAGUCCCAAUAUAGUGUGCACAUCCAGAUAUCCCCAUGUAGGAUGGGUUCACAAGGUAUCAUCGACCUUUUGAAAGAUGACUUUCGAGCUAAUUUGUUUACUUCCAUUUCGGCUGGUGCAUUUGACAUUGUGAAACUGAGAAUUGCAUAAGAUGUUUUAUUCAAGAAAUUAGGAACAUUUUUUGCUCGCAUGUGAGGGGCCAUGGCCGCGAAUUUUUUUUCCAAUGGGCUGAUCUGCUUUAAUCAGAAGUGAGACUGAAGGCUUUUGUGUACGCCGCAUCCGUUUCUACAACAGUCAUGGUAUGGUUAGCCACCCUGAAAAAGUGUUCCAUGUGAAGAGCUGCAUUAAUGAUUCUGAGAAGAUACUUCUAACUUCUUCCCCAACAUUAAUAGUGUAUAAAUCUGCACAAAAUUAAAUGAAAGGAACCCCGACAUCAAUAUUUUAACAGCAAUGAAAUUAAGAUAUACUUGUUUGUUCAGUGAAUUUAAAGUUGGUGUACCGUCUCCAAAGCAGUUAUGGAGGGGACCAGGAUGACCAUUCAAAAUAUAGGCAUCUAAGCCUUGGGAACCUCCUGAUUCUUUCACAUGUCUUUUCAAAUCCUGGAUGUCUCGAAGCUAAUACUCUCCUGUCGAAACAACAACCCAAAAAAAGCAUGGAAAAUUUCUGAUACAUAUUGAUAAACCCUUGUAGACUAAAGGAAGCUUGGUAAAUAAGAAACGAGCAAAGAAGUAGAAGUUAAAUACCUAGUACAAUCACAUGCUCUUCAAGGGAAGGCUCAAACGUGUAGCUAACACCUUGCCUGGGGUAGGUAAUGAGAGGACCAUGGACUGUUGCUCUUAUCUUAGCCAUGAUCUGUGAGCAUGCCAGAAGAGUGUGCCUCACCGGUUGAGCAAGGUAAAGCAGCAAGUUAGACUUUGGUGAACUCCAUGCCUUUGAUCAGAAACCAAAUCAACCGAUAUUACUGAUACGCUUAGUAGCAAUAUGGUGUGCAAGAAGAAAAAAUGAAGGAAAUUUACUAAUUUUCUUACCAGUGGAUUGAAAUGUUGUAUGGAGUAAGAUUGGUGCCUUGACAACCACUCUAUCGUCUUCCUGAACAUAAAUCGUAGGUCCAGGAUACAUCUCAUUUACAGUGACAAGUGACAACAGUUGAUGUCUUGUACAGUUGUGUACUUGAGGCUGUUUGAACUUGUUAAUUCACAGAGAUAUAUGUUUAGUCCAAUCUGUAGGACAAUUCAAAACUCAAAAAAAUGUUGAAAUUGAAGAUUAUGAGUGACACUAAACAAAAAAUUUGUCCAGAAAGACUGCCAUUGCUACUGACAUCUGAUUACUGAUAUAUAAUUUUCUUUAAAUCUUUAAAUCUCUGGGACCGGGGCCCUGCUUAAUGGAUCAAGUUGACAUUAAUACUGUCUUGCAACUGCACAAGGGGCAAGCAUCAAUGCCUCAUUAUCCACAAGGACUUGGCUUUUGCCCCUGUUAAUGUUCAAUAUCAAGCUAUUAACACAGGAAUGCAUUAAGCAUCCCCUUUCUUGUAACACUCCCUUUAGGCCAUGCUUCAAGAACACCUCCAUUAAUGGAGAAGAUAAGGAGAGACAACAAAAAACCUGCAGCAUCUUUUUGGACGUGUCCCUGCACAAAAAAAGCCUGGGGACCAAUUUAUGUGAACACCAUGGUCACUAAAAUCCAUGUUUGGAGCAGCAGAGAAAAACGAAUGGCAACAUUCUUGAUAGUAGGAGACAAGUCGUUUUGUAUAUCCUAGACUUUUUUCAGUGCUUUGGCACUUGAAUGGAAAGCUGAUGAGUUAAACCUAAUCAAGUGUCUGUUCUAAAACCUGACAGAUGCUUGUGAUAAAGUUUUCAUAUUCAAAUGAAUUUGUAAAUGCAGAGAAAAAGACAUUGCUGAUUGUAUCAAUCUUAUCCUGCCCUUCAAUCAGAAGCAGUACAAGAACGUGGGGUUCAUUGUUUUGGAGAUUGAAUAUUAUACAUCUUCAACCAACAUAUAUUUAAAAGAAAGUGCAACACAAUUUGAUAAUUUCUUAAAUAUGGCGUGUGUUAUACUUUGUCUAAUCAUCAAAGCUCACAGAUUAUUAUAUUACUUGUACUUAACUACUACUAAGAUUAAAUUAUUAACAAUUCAUCAAAUUGCAGUGAAUCAAACAAUGGAAACAAACGUGCAGAAGAAAUCAAAGACAAAAUCAGAUUUGGACUUUGGAAAAUGAAAUCAAGGGGCCAUGCCUUUCUCGUCAACCGACCACUUGGCAUUUAAAAGUCCUGGCUGGAAAGGAUCAUUGAGAUGACAUUUUCAUGGGGUCAGGACUUUAGAUGACUUGAGAAAUCAAGGAGGGGACCCCAAUAAUAUCUUCAUUUAAUUUUCCUAUCUCCAUUUUUGUGCAUGAAAAUUACUCUACAUUGCAGAGUUAUUGUUCUCUUUUUUUGUGGUCCAAUGGAUUCUGCAGUCAUCAUUGACUCAUUCUCUCUCACUAAUGCAUUGAUAAUUCGAUUUUAAUUGAAUUAAUUCAUCAAAUUAAUUUAAUUUAAUUAAUGCAUAGAUUAUCAAAUUAAUUUAAGCUAAUUAAUAAAAAUGAUUGAUUUUCGAUUAAUUUAAUUUGAAAAUCGAAUUAAUAGAAAUUUUAAUUGAAAUAUAUAUAUAUUCCAAAUGUAAAAUGAAAAAUACCUAAAAUUGAUCAUUUUAUUUUAUAAAUUGUUAAAAUUUUUAACAUAAUAUUUUGAUAUUUGAAUAUUUUAUUGCAUUUUUUAAAAUAUGAGAAAUUAUGAGUUUAAAAUAUAAUUUAAAUUAAACGUAUUUAUUAUUUAGUUAAUAAAAAAAAUUAACUAAAUUAAUUGAAUUAAAUUCAGUUGAUUAAUAAAUUCAAUUCUGUUAACAAAAAUAAAUUAAUACAAUUCAAUUAAUUUGAUUUUAGAUAAUUCGAUUCGAUUUUAAAUAAUUCGAUUUGAAAUUAAUUAAACUGAUGAUAUAUCUAUGAUUAAUGAAAAUAAAUUAAUAUAAUUCAAUUAAUUCGAUUUUAGAUAAUUUGAUUUGAUUUUGAAAAAUUCGAUUUGAAAUUAAUCAUACAGACAAUAUAUCAACCCUUACUGCAUUACGUUCAACAAGAAACUCAGGCAGAAUUUGAGUUCAUUCCCACAAUCCCAUUUCCAAAGUUUCCCUUUCUUCCAUUGAUGGAAUUGUGAGACAGUUUUACUAGAAGUGUCCAGGCACAGUUUUGUAAGCUUAGAAAGAAUGAAAAACAAAAUAAACAAAACAAAUUUAAAUUAAUUGAAAAUAUAAAUAACAGAAUGGUUUGGUUCAAACAAAGUGGAACCUUAAUCCAAGCCAAUUGAUCAGAAUCAACCAAAUUCCUUCCAUUUUCAGCAAUUUGCCAGUCCAGGUUGGUAUUCCACUUUACUGCUAAUUUUCCACUACAUAUCCGUCUAUGCCUGCGGCUACAAAUCUAAAUAGCCAAAAUACAUCCCCACCUGCUGUUUUCCUAUGUUUCCAAGAUUGAAAAACCUGACACAAAGAACGUCAGAAUGCCUCCACUAACCAAAUCUCUUGACAGAGAUGUUACUGUUCGUUUUUUUUUUCAGAUAGAGCAACCUUACACAUCCAAUGUCCUAAUACAUCUGAUAUUUGAGUUUACCUUAUUCUACAAAGGCUAUACUGCCACAACAAAGUCAUUUUCGCCAUUGUCAAGUGGAAGGCAGCAGAACAAAUUAUAUAUAACCAUCGUUUUCUUCUGCAACCCCAAAUAGUUCUAUACCAGAUGGUGCUGUACAAGGCAUAUUUUCCCCAAAGUCAAAUGGAGAAGACUAGUUCUUAUUUCUCCCAAGUCAUGAGCUCCUUCCAAUGUCCUUGCUGGUAAAAUCUCCACCUCCAAAAGAUGUUGCUGCUGCAGCAAAAUCAAGUCCACCUCCAAUGGAGGUCAUUAGAGCUGACAGGCCACCAUUGGGGCUGCCACCAGCAGCCACUCCCAACCCAAGAAAAUCGAGAGUAGCUUGCUUAGGACCAAAUACAGGAGUUCCCAUCAUCAAUUCCUUUAAUCCUGAACUUCCAUCACAAGGAAGCCCAAGUCCAAGUCCUACUGCAACAGAGGCAUUGUCAGGCUCAACUUGUCUCUGACCCCAUUGCAAAUUAUGUUGCUGUGCAGAAGAUGAAGAUGAUGAUACUAAACCCAAACCACGAAGCAAGGAUGCAUUAGUUGCUGCUGCUCCCAUCUGUGCAGCUUUCUGCAAUAGUGCUGUGGCAGACAUAGUAGGUUGUGGCGGUGGUGCAUACUGCCUGCGCUCUUGCCCUGCAGUUCCAAAUAUUGAUGAGCCAUGGCUGGUUGAAAGGCAUAGAGAAAUUGGUUCGGUAGAAGUAGAUGGAGCAAGGCCAGCUGAACAAUCUGGUCCACCCAUAGCUCGAAUUAAGUCGGUGAAAGCUGGAGAUUGUGGAGGUUGUAAGCUCGCAGAUGCAGUUGAGGAUGCGAAUAAGCUAGCAAAUACACUGCUGCUGCUGUUACCAUUGCUAACUGAGCUGGUGCUACUGCUACAAUUUCCAUUUACACCAACUGGUGCCGGAGCUGGAGCUUCUUCCACAAUAGGAGUGGGAUUUUCAGGCAAUUCUAUAACAAGAAGCGAUACAGAAGGCAGAUAGAAAAUUAGGGGACCUGACUUAAAAGUCUAAAACAUAGAGGCAUGGAAAGUUAAAUGACUUAUCUUUAUCAAAGAACUUUGGAGCAAAAAGCAGAAUCAAUAAUGGUUUCCUUUCUCUAAAUCCACUUCUCUUUUCUUUUAGCUUUUGAAUCACUUCGGUCAUUUAUCAAGAUUGCACAAAUUGAAUCUCACAGUUUAGAAAAUGGGUUUAUUUUCCUUCUAUCCUUCCCCUCCUAAAUCUCAGUCUCACCAGCCCAGUUUCUAAAACCUCCAGUAAACAACAAAGACCAGUAACAGACAAAAAAACUACUAUGCUACAAGAUUCAUCCAGAGACAUAAUAACAACAAAAAACUUUGUCUUCGUUUUAUUUAAACAAAAUCAGAACGGACAACAUUUAAACUACAAGAUCGAAAAUUUCCAAAUUUGGUAAUAUAUAAAACUUACCAGAACUUUGAAUUGGCAAAACUGAAGAAGAUACAACACUAGUUGACUGAGGCAGAGCUGGUGCAGCUGGAGUUGGAGUUGGAGCUGGAGCUGGAGCUUGCACUGGUGGUGGUGAUGGUGCCGAUGCCGUCAAAGGUGGUGGUGAUGAAUCCACAGCCUGAACUUUCAGGUCGGAGUCCGAAUUGGCAUUCGCCACAGCCUGAUUCUGAUUCUGAGGCUGAGGUUGUGUUUGAGCUCUAGCACUCUCCUCUGCUAACGCAUCACAGAAAGCCCUAUGGUUAAUAAAACUAUCCCUCCUGCAAAAAACAAAAUUAACAAUCAAUCCCACAAAAGAUCCAAAAUUUUCCAAUACAAAUCGAAUAUGUAGAUUGUUUUGAAUACCUGGAAAACAGUGUUCCACAAUCACAUUUGUACUCUCGAGUACCACAAAUCUUAGAGUGAGCUUUCCAAUCAGAUUGAACAGCGUAUUUUUUGGAACAUUUGUCGCAUUUCCACUUUUUUUCUCCAUGUUUUCUACAGAAAUGUUUCUUAAUUCCCGUAAGAUCGCCUAAAGCUCUCGAUGGAUCGUGAUGGACGCAUGUGGACUCAGGACAAACAUAAACUCUCUUCUUCACUUCCUUACUCGUUCUCUGCCUCAGCUUCCAUGGUAAAUUAUGGCCUCGUCUAUGAAGCUGAAGAUUUUGGUCCCUUUGAAACCCUUUAUUGCAAAUUUCACAAAUAAAUCGGUUCGUGGCUAGAAGAGUCUUCGGAGAUAAAGCAAUCACCUCUGCAUCUGGAUCUGCAGCAACCCCAAAAAAAAUUGUAAUUGAUAACAAAAUAAGAAACCAAAAAUAGAAAAUAGGACAAAGCUUGGCAGUUUAUUGACUAUUGGAUAGUUACUUUACUGUACCUGGCAUUCCAGGAAGGUUACGCUUCUUCUUGACGGUGGAUUUCGGAGGCGGGUUUUCGUUACCGGUGGAAGAGACGCUAGCUUCACCGGAAGCAGCGGAGGAAUUAUCCAAGUCAGCCGGCAUGACUCUAAAAACUCUUUGAAUCAAACUACUAGACAAAAAAAAAGUGAAAACUCUAGAGCAUUUAUUUCUGCUUCUUCUUCAAGGGCUUUGUUUUAAGGUCUUUUCUCUUUUAUCUACCAGUCAAUCUUCUUUUCUUUUCUUUCUUUUUGCCCUUUAGGCCACUUACCAGCUCUCUUCUAAGUUUCUGACCAAAAUUCACAUUACCCAAAGAAGCAAAAUGAUUAAACCCAAACACUAAAAACCAGCUCUUUCAACUCUAAAGCUUUAAAAGUUCAAUCCCCAAAAAAAUAAUCAAAACCCAGAAAGCAAAUCCAAUCAAUAACCCCAGCAGCUGAAAGAUCCAACGGUCAAAGCUGAAUCAAAGAACAUACCAAUCUCAAACUACACCAAAUAUCUUAAUAAAACAGAGAAAGAGGAUCAGAUAUGGAUAACUUCAGGUGAAAGUUUUUAGAGAAAAGAAACAGAAAUAAAAGAGAGAGAGAGAAACCUUGCCAAAAGUUCUUUGGUCUAAUUAUUCUUCCUGGCUUCCUUUCCAGAAGAGAUAAAAAAGAACAAAUAACGUUAAAGUGGUACUAUUUUUCAUGUAAUAAAUAUUUAAUUUUAUAUAAUUUUAUAUUUAAAUUACAUUCAUCGUUAAUUAAUUUUAAAUUUAUGCUUAAUAUAAUAUUAAAGUCAAAAUAUUUUUUAUUUUUUUUAAUUUAUCACAUGAUAAUUUAUUUAUUUUAAAUUAUAUAUUUAACAUGAUAUUAAAAUUAAUUUUUUUUAUAUUACUCUUUUUAAAAUUUAUCAUUAUGUUACUUUUUUUAAAUUUAUUAUGUCAAUAAAUUUUAAAUUAAAUAUUUAAUAUGAUAUUUUAAAUAAAUUUUUUUUGUUAUUUUUUUCUAAAUCUAUCCUUUUCUCUUUCUAAAUUUAUCUUUCUAUUAUUAUUCUUAAAUUUAUCACAUAAUAGUCAAUUGAUUUUAAAUUAUAUAUUUAAUAUGAUAAUAGAAUCAAAAUUUUUUUAUUUUUUUUAAAUUUAUUACGUAAUAAUUUUUUUUAAAAUUUUUACCAAUAUAUGAUAAAAAUUUAUUAAAAUAAAAGUAUUUUAUAUUUAAUAAAUAUUUAAUAUUUUAUAAUUUUAUAUUUAAAUUAAAUCUUUCACUUGUUAUUAAUUAAUUUUAAGAUAAAUAUUUAACAAAUAAAAUAAAAAAUUAUUUAAAUAUUAGUGUUAAGGGUGAUUUGAUUAUGUUAAUUUAAUUAAUACAUUGUUUAAGAACAAAUAAGAGUUUGGGAUUUUCUUUUACCGUUCGCUCGUGGUUUUUGAGCAAGCUGUCGGGGGCCUGCUGUUUUGUCGUGUAGUGAAGUUGUCUGAGUUUCUUUCGGACAAGAGCUGAAUGGCUGGUCGCCGGUGUUGCUUUAAAUUCAUAAAAAGUCAAGCUACUUUUGUCAUUGAUUGGAACUUUUUACUACUUUAGCCAAUUCAAUUUUGACACGUGUUUUGGACAACUAGGACAGAAUUUGUUUGAUUGUUGCUCUUUUUACAUUGUUUUUCGUUUUCCUACUUAGAAGAGCACCCUGUCCUGAAAUGGCAACAAUUUUUUUGAUAAUUAUAUGGACAUUUUUUCUUUUAUUUCAUAUUUUUUAUAUUUAAUAUAUUAUUCAUAUGUAAAUUUUAUAUACUUUUAUUAAAUUAGAUGGUAUUAUUUUAUUAAUAAAAUGAAUAAAAUGAUAAAAUGGGUUAAUGAAUAAACUUUUUUAAAAUUUAUUUUUUUAUGUAUUUAUUUAAUAAUUAAUAUUUAUUUAUUAAUAAAAUAAAUUUAUAUUCGAUGAUAAUAUAUAAACUUUAUAUAUUAAUAAUACAUAAAAUAUAAAUUCGUUUUUUUUUUUCCCUUUUAAGAUGGAUAAAGGAGAAUAUAUGUGAGGAAUUGAUUAAUAUUCAUCUUUCUCCUUUUAAUUUUUUUCUUCAAGAAUUAUUUUCAAAUCUAGAAAGGAUAAAAAUAAGGCCUUACACUUCAAAUAAGAUUGUGGUCAAAUAAAAUUACAUAUUGAAAAAAGAAAAAAUGAUAAAAAUUUUAUUAUAAUGACUUGUAUUUUAUAAUGAGGUUUAAAACUUUUUUAUUCAAAGGUAAACUUUUAUAAAAUAGAAAAUAUAAUAAAUAUAAAUAAUGACUAAAUCAAUUUUUAUAAUCACUUAAUCAAUAUCUAAAUCAAUAUUUAAUAUUCUCUAAAUCAAAAUUAAAUCAAUCUAAAAUAUUAUUAGAAUAUUAUUAUCAAUUUAAAAUAUUAUCAGAAUAUUUAUUACUAGAAUAUCAUUGACACCCUCUCGUAAAUUGAAGAUGGGAAUGUAGAGACCAAUUUGAGUUUGGAAACUUGGACAAUAAAUUGACCAGGUGGAUGUGAUUUGGUGAAUAUAUCUAUUUUUUAUCAACACUAGUAACAGAAACAAGUUAAAGAGUUUGAGCAAGUAGAUUGUGACGAAUGAAGUGACAGUCAAUUUCAAUAUAUUUAGUAUGCUAAUGAAAAACAUUAUUGUAAAUUAUUUGAAUGGCACUUUGAUUGUCACAAAAUAUAGAAGUAUUAGAGUGAUGGGAAAUACUCAUAUCUUGAAGUAGCCAUUGUAAUCAUAAAAGUUAUAAUGUGACAUCUGUAAGAGCUCGAUACUCAACUUCAGUGCUAGAGCGAGACACCAUAGUUUAUUUUUUACUUUGUCAAAAAAUAAGAGAUGAACCAAGAAAGAAAUAAUAGCACAUGAUAGAAUGAUGAUCAAUAAGAUAUCCUACCCAAUCAGCAUCACAACAACAAUGCAAAUCCAAAAAGAAACUAGAGACAAAAUGCAAACCAUGGAACAUAAUACCCUUAACAUAUCGUAGGAUCUGGAGGACAAUGACAAAAUGAAUAGUCGAGGAAUAGAUAGAAAUUGACUAAUCAGGUGAACAACAUAGGCAAUAUUUGGACGAGUAACUAUUUAGUAAUACCAGACUACCCACCAGAGUUUAAUACAAAGAAUAGUCUGAAAGUAGUGUACCAUCAGAAGAAGAAAGCUUCAAAUUCUGUUCAAGUGGUGAUAAUGCAAUCUUACUAUCAGUUAAACCUGCUCAAAAAAUAAGAUUAGAAGCAUACUUUGUUUAAGACAAUUAUAAACCAGUAGAAUCAUUAAUGACUUUUAAGACCCAAAAAUAACUCAAAGGAUCAAGGUCUAUCAUCUCAUAUUUAGAAUGAAAAAAAGUUUUCAGAUCUUGAAUACCAUUUAUGUCAUUACCCGUAAUGAUCAUGUUUUUCACAUAAAGUAAGAGAAGAGUAAUACCAUUUUUAGUAGUUUGAGUAAAAAAGGCAAAAUCAUGUUUACUAGAUAUAAAAUCAAGUUGAAAAACAGUAGUACUAAACUUCGAGAACUAAGCUAUAAGGGCUUGCUUAAAACCAUAUAAAGCACAUCGAAAAUGAUAGACCAUGUUAGAAAGUACGGAUGAACCAGGAAAUGGUUUCAUAUAGACUUUAUCGACGAAAUCACCAUUUAAUAAGGCAUUUUUAAUGUCCAUUUGAAAGGUUGGUCACUUUCUAACUAUAGCAUCAGCUAAUAAUGAAUGAACAAAUGUGAAACGUGCAACUAGGGCACAAGUCUCUUCAUAGCUAAUGCCAUAUUCUUAUGUAAUCUUCAAGCAACAAGACAAAUUUUGUAAUGUUCCACUAACCCAUCAGAUCUAGUAUUGAUCUUGUAGACCUACUUACAAUCAAUCGUUGACUUAUUAAAAGAUCGUUCAACAAUAUUCUAAGUAUGAGUUUUCUCAAGAGCUUGAAGCUCCUCUACCAUUGGUUGCUACCAUAUAGGAUUAGAGACAACUUCACAAAAAUUGAAAGGUUCAUGUAACAUGACUAAAGCAUAAUAACAAUGAAAAUCAUGAAGUUGAGUAUUGGAUUCCCUUACUCGGGUAAAAUGAUGAAAUGGAAGCGAUAUGUAUGGGGAAAUGACAAUUGUAUUAAUAAAAGCAUCAGUUAGAUCAGACAUAGUAGGAGUAGAACAAAUUGAUUAUUCCAAAGUGAUUCACCUUCGAAAUGAAUCAUAAAAUAGCUUUGAUACUAUGAAAAAGAGAAAAUAAUAAAAACUUUAUUAUAAUGAUUUGUGUUUUACAAUAAGGCUUAAAGCUUAUUUAUACAAAGGUAAACUAUUACAAAAAUAAAAAAUACAAUAACUAUAAAUAAUGACUAAUUCUAUAAUCACCUAAUCAAUAUAUAAUAUUCUCUAAAUUAAUAUCAAAUCAAUCUAAAAUAUUACUGAAAUAUUAUUAAAAUAAUAUCAUCAAUCUAAAAUAUUACUAUAAUAUUAUUGACACACAUCAACAGUCUUAUAAUUUGUUAGAAGAAUGUUAAAUUUUAAAUAAUAAUAACAAUUUAAUUUUUAAUAAUUUUAAAUAUAAAAAAUAAAUAAUGUUGAUAAUAAUGUUAAAUUUCUUCCACUAAUGAGUACAUCACGUUAUCGGUAUUUAUAAUUACAUAUCAAGAAUAUUAAUCUUAAUUUUUUUUUUUUGGUUAUUUAUACUAUUCACAUAUAUUAUAUAUGUGUGUAUGUGCGAGAAUGAUUCUUUUACAAAAUACGUUUCAAUUUCAAAAUCAAAACUUUUGAUAAGUUUAUACAAGUAAAAAAGGUAUUGUUUUAUCAAGUAGUAGUAUCUUUUUUACAUUUGAUUCUUGUUUUAGUUUAAAGAUAAUGACUAUGAAGUUUUGAGUUUCAACUUUCAAGUAGCAGCUUAGAGAAAUACAACCAAAAGACCAGCAUGUUUUUUUUUUUUUUUUUUUUGCACACUCCAUCAUGACUCUCAUUGUGUUGGGUGCUUUUUAUUUUAUUUCUUUUCCAGUUCAAACCCUUCAUUAUUCUAGGCAUUGAUAUGAUAAUGGGGUCUCCACAAUGUUAAUGUUUUUUUUCUUUUUUUCGCAUUUUAGAGUUAGCAAAGUCAUUUAAAUUUGAUCAUUUAUAUAUUCGUAUCGUAAAAAAAUAUUAAAAUUUAUAUAUUUAUAUUAUAUUUUAUGUAAAAAUUAUAUAUCAUAAUUCGUAUUAAUAUAAAAAUAUAAAAUUUAUUUUUUAUUUUAUUAAAUUUUAUUAAUUAUUAUUAAAAUUUUAAACCAUGUGAUUUUUAUAUUUUAUUUUUAUAUCAUAUUUGAAAUUGUUAAGUUUGAAUCCACUUUACCAUAGCCCAAAGUCGGCCCCUCGCCUCUCUUCUACAAUCAGUUAAGUUCCAGGUUGGGAUAUACAUUCUACAAGGUAAAUCUUCCAUGAUUGGAUCAAUCGAGGAGAGAAGAGAAAAACAAGCAUCCAAUUAAAAAGAUUGCUGCCUUGGGAUACUUGCCAGUACAUCCUCAACAAGAUAAUUAAUGAUUGAAAUUUGCGUUUUACUUUCAAAUCUGUACUCAAAAGCUUGUUUGACUGGAGAUUCAUUAAAAUUAUCAGCACCCUAAAGCUAAACGCUUUCAGAUAACUAGAGAAGAAAUGGAGCAAAAGAGUCUGCUUUACAUCUGGUUUCCAAGCAUGCUGGCUCUUCCCUGUUUAGUGUUUAUAGUGUUUAAUCCCAUCAUGUUGCUGUGAGUUAGUCGGUAAUUGUUAUGGAAGUUCGUGGCUGAUUCGUCGUUGGAAUUUCCAUCUUUUGAACCUUGGCAUUUGAGACUGUUUAGAAUUUACAUGGAGAUCUGUUUUUGGUUAUUUGCCUUUCAUGGGUAAUGACAGGGUUUUAGAUUAUAAUUAGACCCAGUAGAACAGGGUUUGUGCAUUGUAAAAUAUUUAUACAUAUAUAUAUACAUAUUUUUUAUAAAAAUUUUAAAUCCAUUUAUUUUAUUUUCGUAUUAUUUUCAUAUAAUAUCUUAAAUUACUAAAUUUAAAAAAGGGUAAUUCAAAUUUUCUUUUUAAAAAAAAAAGUAUAAACCAAUUUUUAAAUCAAAUAUUCGGAUAUUCUAUAUUUUUUAUUUAACCACCUCAGAAUACUUUAAAUUCAAAAUUAAUAUUUGUAGUAUAUUUAAUCUAAUUAAAUGUUUAUUUUAUUUCUAUAUUACCAACAAAAUUUUCAAUUACAUUUUUUCUAACAGUUAAAAAUUCAGCCAUGCAUGAUUCUAAUUUCGAGGUUUUUGUCCAAAAUCCCAAUAAUAAUAAUAAUGAUAAUAACAAUAAUUAUAAAAAGGAGGGAGUAACAUUAAUCCUCAAAUUUCUGGUAGAUCCGAAAAUAAAUCACCAACAAAGAGUCUUGGAUCCUUAAUCAGCUCAUCCAAAUCCGGGAUUGGUCCUGGAAUAACAAUUUCUGAACAGCAUGUUGAAAAUAUGGUUGACAAUGGCGACGCCGCUGGGGUUGUUGGGGACGAAAUCAUUCCCCUAUCAUUAUCAGAUCUUUCACUACUAGAACAACAACUAUUCCUUUGCUUCUCUACUGAUUUGACGGGCACGUAUGCUUUUCUACAAACCGGCUUUCUUGGGGUCCUAGGCUUCUUUUUUAUAGUUCGUCGAAAACAAUCGACCAAAGAUUUGGAACUUUGGUCGUUGUAAAAACUAUUGGGUGGUCUUCCACGACUACGGCGGCGGCAUUCGUCGUUGGAGGAAUUCUUUGGCGAUCUCCCUCGACCACGGUGGCUUGUCAUGAUAGUGAAUGGAUUUGUUUCUUAAUUGAAACAAAAUUUAUCUUAUUUAAUUUAUUAUUAUUAUUUUUAUUUUGGAAGAAAGGAUAGUGAAUUAGAUCCUUCAACGGAGAAUACAUGAGUUAAUCAAUAAACCAAUUGUAUUUAUACUAUCAACUGUUCAUCAAAUCAUAAUCUAACAUGGAUAAGGAUUUCCUUCACUUCUUUCCUUUGACUUGUUUGGCAAGGAUAUUAUCGGUACUCUCCUUUGACUUGUUUACCAAGGAUCUUAUGAAGUCAUCCAAUUACCAAAUUAUAACACAAAACAUAAAAAGAUACGACAAAACAUAUUAUUUACAAUUAAAGGUGUCUAUAAUUGGGCCGGAUUGAAUUUAGAUUAAAUUUAUGUUUAAUAUUAAUAAUUUAUAUGUUUAUUUGAAUUCAAUUCAAUUUAAUAUUUUGAAUUUUUUAAGUUCAAUCAAAAUAAAAAAAUAAACCAUAAGUUUAUCUAUUAAAUUUAAUUUAUAUAAUAAAAAUUUUAAAAAAUCUUUAAAAUAAAUACAAAAAAAUCUUUAAAAUAAAUACAAAAAAUAAAAAUUUACAUAUAUAUACUUACAUAAUUAUAAUAUUUUAAUUAUAUAUAAUUUAUUUAUAUUGAGUUAAAUCAAAUUCAAAUUUUAAUUUUUUUUAUCCAAAAUUCGAUCCGAAAUUUAAAUAAAUUUAAAAAUUACAUUUAAACAUGUUUAAUGAGCUUUAAUUUCUUAUCUAAACUCUCUUAAAAUUUAAAUGAACAUUUGAACUUUAAUUAAAUAAUCUGAUACUUGAACAAAUUUACGUACAACUAUUUAUAAUUAUUGUAAUAUAAUUGCUUAAAACUUACACAUUUAAAUGGUAAUCUUUUACAUAAAUAUUUGUUGUAAUUGACAAAUUACAUGAUUAUAGUUAAAAUAAUUGCAAAUAAAAUGCUUCCUAACAAAUACAUCAAUAGAACAAUCCAUAUUUUAUCAUUUGCAUUACCGUAAGAAACAAAAAUGCACUACAAUUUUUUACUAAUUGGAAACUACACUACAAUUAGCGAAUGAAGCGAGAACGGUUCUAGGGAUCUUCAACUUGCAGAUGGAGGUGAGGGAGGGGGUGGCAUUGACAUUUGCGGCAAAGGAUUCUUCCACCCAUUUGCUGCUGUGGUGUUGGUGCUGGGGGCCAAACAUGUGGUGCUCUCAUUCCCAUCGGUGGGGAAUAACUUGAAAGAGCAGACGUUGCCAUUGGAGGUGGUGGCGGUGGCAUGUUUGGCAGAGGUGGUCUGAACCGCAUAGGCGGAGGCAUGAUUGAGGUGGAAUUGGUUGUCCAAUAUGAUGCUGUGGUUGACCCUGCCAAGCUGCUUGUCCGGCAUGCAGCACUGUUGGGAAGGGUACACUGAGGUAGUGGAGGACAAACUACUGGCAUCGGGCCAGGAGGAACGGUACCAUUUGGAAAAGGUCGUGGAGGCACUAGUGCACCCAUAGCACCGUCAGCCUGGGGACCAGAUGGAGUGUUAGAGGUCCGCCCGCAAAUAAAGUAUGGGGCCUGCUCUUCGGGGAAUUUGGGUUGCUUGCAGCCAAAACCCUCUCUGUAUCACAAGAAAAAUGUUUCAAAACUACAUGCCAAUCUAUAUGAAAAAGAAAACCGAUAUAAAAAUAGUAAUAAAAUAGAACAAAGGGGUAAGGUGAGGAUGGGGGUGAAAAAAGUAAAAACGCACCUGCUGGGGUGACUUGGCGCUCCCCUUUCGUGUCUUAUAUGCAUAAGAAACCGUUAUUUGACAGUUACAGAGGAAUUGGCCAUUCAUUGCCUGUAACAUCAAAGAGAAAAAGUAAACAUAUUUUGCAGGAUAGAAGAAACCAAAUCAAUGGUAUUUACUGUCACAUCACAUUCCAUGGAAGCAGUGGCGACAACAAUAACAAAUGCCAUUACAAUUAGCAAAUAACUUUGUGAAUAAUUUCAAGUUCUUCCCGACUGUUAAAACCUAACACCAAGAAACAAACUAACACUGAGAUGUUAAAAGUGGAAAAAUAUUACAAAUCCCAAUUUGACUUAACAUGAAGCUUUUUACAAAUGAAGCCAGAUUGUCAAUAAUUAUGUUAAUCUGAAAUUUGCAAUAACUCCAGAACAAUAAAAUCAAGGUUUCAUCCAAAUGUUCUCAUGAUGGAAUCUUACAAAUAGUUCAAACAUAUGUAAGUGGCAGUGCAGACAUUCCUCAAUAGCUGCGUCAGAUGCCUUAAAUGAAUCAUAGCUGAUGAAUCCAAAACCACGUGAAUUUCCCGACUCAGGAUCUCUCAUUGUCUGAUGUCAGAAAGUGGUGAACAUCAGAACUCACUAGAAAAGUGGAGAAUAAAUAAAAUGUUGAAAAAUAAUUAACUAUCUUAUUCACUUUUUGAACCCACUAUCGAUGCCUUUCAAGAGAUGAGCAGAAUGAGACUACGACUCACUAUUAGUUUUCGUAUCAUUCAGUUCUCCUGAAACCAAAAUAAGGCAGAUAAGCAUUCCAAUCCUCCAAUAGACCAUGUCAUUGCAUGACCAUGCGAAUAUAUUCAAAACCAACACUAACUUAUGAAAUCUGGUUGCCUACUCAGUCAAUCUCACUGGUUUCAACUUCAUCUCAACAUCAAUCACGAAUAAAAAUUAUGAUGGCAAGGGCUUUGGCUCAACCCUUCAUCUACAAGAUUCACCACUGUUUUAACACUGGUGCAAUGGUUGAUUAAUUACAUAUGACAUCAAGAAGCAGCAGAGCAUUGAAAGCUAAACAAGCAAACGAAGACAUGUAGACAUGCACUUUCAUAUAUGGAAAAAGCAGAACUCAUUAAUCUAUGGCAUACCAUCAUAUAAAAUGAAGCAAAAGAAAUUCGAAAGUCAGUACCUUGAGCCCAAAUGCACUAAAAGUAUCUGACAAAAGUUUCUCAUCCACAUUCUGCAAGUAUAACCAGAUAAUCACAAAGUUAAAACAGGAAAUCUAGCAAUUGAUGACAUCUCUACACUUCUAAUUAAGGAAAAAGGCAGAAGAGAAAGGAAAUUAGCGAGAACCUGAGGACCGAGAUUGCCGACAUAAGCAAUGGCGUCUUGGUUCCUCUCAGCGGAAUGUUGAUCAAGCAAGUUCGCUCCAACUACUGAAGCGAUUCGCGUAGUCAUUAGCUUGGCUUUACUGUUCUUCCCUUUUCUUCUUCGAUUCUUUGCUAAAACACUGAUUACGCUCCUUCGCGUUUUCUGGAGAUUUCUGGCGUAGAAGAUGAAUUACAAACAAGGUUCAAGUGACGAGUGGAGUUCGGCGGUGGCCUACGUUGGCCCAAAUUUAAGAUUCUGAAUAUUUUGCCAAGUUGGCCCAUUUAUUUUAUAACGGACUUCUCCAAUCCACAAAGUUGGCCUGGCUAAUACGAAUACUAGAAGGACGGUAGAGUAACAGGCUGUCUGGUUAUGAACAUUGAGGCUUAGUUACUAGCCAGUGGGUUUUUCUGUUUUCUUUUACAUGGGUCAUUGGCCCAUGUGCAGUUUUUAUCAUGGGUAAAACAACUGACAGUCCUAAAACUGCACUAGCAGUGCAUUAUUAGUAAAAAAUAUAAUAAUCUCCUGCUGAAAGUUGAGUUUUCCCCUGCCCUCAUAGCAAAAAGAAACGAAAAAAGUGAUCUAUUCAAAUCAUAAAUAGUAAGACCAACAUAUUAAAUGAUUUUGCUUAGUUGUUGCUUUACUUUCCGGUGGGGCCAGCCAAAUCGUAAAACAUUCGUCCUCGAGCAUUACUAACUUCGGAAUUUACCCAAGCUUCAAUUAUUUUUCUUCUCAAAAUCUUAAAGAUGGAUCCAACACUAGCGGUGUUGUUUCAUGAACCUGGCAAAGUCAGCAAACCAAAUGCACCUCACAAACCUGGCUUUUAAGUGCAAAAUAAACAAACAUUAGAUUGAUAUAUUAAAAUCAUCUAUGUCCAUCUGAUGUUCUGCUCGCUUUCAUUAAUAAAAUUCCUCAUAAACCAUCUAUAUCUUAACUCUAGGCGUAAACAUGGAAUCAGCACAAGUAUAAUGCAUAGCAGAGAUGACAUUAGGCAUCGUACUCCCCCUGUGCAAACUUGUUCUCUGGAUAGAAGACGGCAAUAACUUGAUUUUCACCAAAUUUCCGUCCAUUCAUUGCAGCUUGGGCUUUUCAAGAACCUUCAACGUCUGAGUACUCCAUAAAUACCUGCUAAUAUCAAAGAAUUACAGUCUGUAAUUGGGGGGAAUUCAUAUAUGCAACUAGCAGAAACAUCCAGCAAUGCAUGUUAACCAAAACAAUAGAAUCAUCAUGAAUAUAAACAUUGUAGAAAAAAUGACCUUCCCGACACCUGGUGAUGAUUCACCAUUUGGUUUUGGGCGGGGGAUGACAACAUUCACCGAUGCACCUGCACAUUACGUGUGAAAAUUUCGAAUCCACAGAAAACUUUAUUCAAAGAAUUAGUUAAGAGAAAACAGUAUGAAGAAAAUACUGAUAAAGGGUUAUGGAGUCUUGUGUCUAUGUAUGUUAAACUUGAUUCUUUAUUGCAGAAAGUGGAACUAGAAAGGGCUGUAAAACAGAGAUAUAAACACAAAAAAAAAAAAUGUAAUAAAAUAUACAAGGGACUUAGCAUGUUAUAAAGGAGGGCCAAAUACAAAAUUGAUGCACCAAAAAGUUUAAAGAGUUUUGCCAUGUUUUCCACCCUCUUGUCUCAUGUCCUCAACGAUGUAGUCAUACUACUCGUCAUCUCUAAGAUCAUCUUCA
rnacentral:lncRNA from 1 species